rnacentral:lncRNA from 1 species
UACUUAUAUAAAGGCCAACAUCCUCUUCUUUCUUUACCAUCAAACCCAGCAAGAGACUCUCUCUCUCUCUCUCUCUCUCUCUCUCUCUCUACUUGUUCUACAAUUCUAAUUAAGCAGCAGAAUACUUAUUCUAUUCUACCAUUUCCAUUAUCAUCCUUCUCUCUGCUUCUCCUUCAAACUAUCAAAAGAGAAGAUGAAGCAAGAAAACACAAGCUUCUGUAACAGGCAUGUUAGAGAUCCGUGCAGAUCAUUCGGCCAGAAAUGCAGUAGACUAGUGAAAGAACAGAGGGCGAAGUUCUACAUUCUCCGGCGGUGUAUCGUUAUGUUAAUUUGUUGGAAUGAAUACGGUGACUCUUAAAUAUAUAUAUAUAUAUAGACAUAUAUGACCUCGAUCUUCAGCUUUGAUAUAUACUUUUUUUUUUUUUCUCUUUUCUUAGCCAUACCCAAUAUGAGUGUUUGUGUAUAUAUUACUAUACACAUAUGAUGAUGAGACAGAGAGCAGGAAUCUUUUUGGAUUUUUCUUUUCUUUCCUUUUCCUAGAAAGUUUAGUUAAUUGUAUCUUGUUUUUUUUUUCUUCCCUACCAGAAAAGGGUGGAGAAGAUUGUAGCAUGAUUAUAUAUUCAAAACAGUUUCUUGCCUCAUAGAUCUACUGAUUCAUUUUACUUGAUUUUUUUCCUAUUAUUAUUAUUUAUUUAAAUGGGAAAAGAGAAAACCCCAUUUUGCUUUUUGUUAUUUUUCAAUUAUUUUAAAUUAAAUUAAUUACCCUUUCUCUCAAAGAGAUGACAUUUGAAAGUGAUGAAUAAUUUAGUGAAGGCCUGGAAAAAUUUAUUGGAUGUUUAUAAGAAACUAUACAUACAAUUUGGAGAAAUAUAUAAUAAUUAAACAUUUAUUUAUUUUCACUGCUUUUAGAGAUAGGAUAUGGUUGGCUACAGGUUUAUGCUUUGUACUUUGAUUUGACAUAUUAGACUAAUUUAAUUAUUUUCACAUUAUUAAAUUUAUAUUAUAUUUUUUUGUGGUUUCAUUUUCUUUUGUUUUCUUAUCUAUAAAAUUAUUAUUUUUCACAUAAUAUAUAUAUAAUAAUAAUUAAUUUGAUAUUUCUGAUCGAGACAUUUAUGAGUGGUUAACUGAGUGAAAAUUUUGCACUUGGAAGUAAGAACUAUUCAUGCUAUUCUACAUGAAUAUAUUCAUAAGUUUACUCUUUGAUUUUUUUCAAAUUUUAUUAAUAUAGGGAAAUGUUAUAAUUAUUAUUUUUUUAAAAAAAUCAUCCCAAUAUAAUUCAUCAUAAUAAAAUAAAAUUUUAAUACUGACAAAUUUUAUAUAUAUAUUAAACGUCACUCGUUUUGAUUAAUUCUUUUUGAUUAAUUCUUUUUGAUAGACAUUUCAUGCGGUGAUAAUUGACGCAUAUAAUAAUAUUGAUUUGAAAUAAAUAUAUAAAUGAUUUAUUAUUAUUAAAAUUUUAAUUAAUUUUAAAUAUAUUAAAAAAUAUUUUAUCAGUAAUAAAUUAUUUCAAAAUUUAUAUAAAAAAUUUUUCAUUUUAAUCUAAUCAUUUUGAUUUAGUUAUUUAUAUAUAUAAAAGAAAAAGACCUUUCAUAUGAAAGUCUUUUAAUAAUAAGCAGUUAUUUUUAUUUAAUUUUACUAUUUAAAAUUUAGAAUAUAUAUAUUAUCAUCAAGUGAAAUGGUAACCAUAGUUUGCGGGGAUACAAAGCAAAAGAUUACAGUGGUUAAAAGUAAGUAAAAGAGAUAGAAAGUGCUAAUGUAAGCCGACAGAGAGAAUCCAUAGAACAGAGUGAUAUCGUACGCACCCUCUCACCAGCACGGAGAAGCGAGCACUCUCCUCUCAUAGCUCGCUUUCACAAUUUCACUUAGUUCCGUUUUAGAUUUGCCCCCACGUGCGGUGAGCCUAACUUUUUCAACGUUCUAACUCUGGGGCCCACCUUCUUUCUUUCUCUUUUUGGUACUAUUCCUUUUUCUUUCUAAUUUAUUUUAAUUUUAAAUCAUUCUACUCCACAUUUCCAUUUGAAUUUUUUUUAUACGUUUCUAUUUUUAGUAAAACAAGGAUAGAAUAUUUGAUUGAGAUAAUUACAAUUAAGUCCUUAUUUUAUGAGACCUUUUAUAAGUACAAUUUUAAUGUGAAAUAUAUUUUUAUAAAAAAAAUUUAAAUAAAUUCUUGUAAAAUUAUAAAUCAGAGAAAAUGCAAAAAUUGAUUGAAAUUAUAUGCGAAUUUAAGGAUUAUUUAAGGGAAAAAAUAAAAAAACAAAGAAAAUAGAGAGAGAGCAACUGGUAAGAAACUCACCUGUGAUCCUCCAAAAGAAAGAAAUUGAGGAAAAGUAAGAGGCAAGAUGAGAAAAAAAAAAAAAAAGGAAAAUGAAAAGGAAAGAGAGAAUAUAACUACAAAAUAAAGAAUAUUGUUACAAUAUAUACAAUUAAUUUCAAUUGAUUUGUAUAUAUUUUAUAAUUAAUUUAUGGAUUAUAUUGAAUUAAUAAAAUUAUUAAUAGUUGAUUAAUAAAUAUUUAAUAUUUACUUUAAAACUAAUUUAAAUACUUAGAUCUUUCCAUAUAAAAAAAAAAAGAACUUUAGAUUAUUUAACUAUAUAAUUUAUAUAGAUAGAUUACAAAGAUAAAUUUAUGUAUCAGUAUACCAAAGUAAGAUUUCUAAGAAAUUGAAAUACAAUAUUUAAUAUAUUAACAAAAAGAAUGUGAAUGAUUAAAUUGAUGUAUCAAUAUAGUUCUUAACAUUUAUCAAAAUUGACAAUUUAGUCAUAAUUUUUUUUAAUGAUAAAUAAUUUAAUUCUUCAGCUUUUAUUUUAUUAGCAAGAUAGUUUUUGUAUUAAAUUUAAAAAAAAAUACUACUUGAUCCUUAUAAUAUAGAAAAACUUACUAGUGUCUAUUGAUUUUAAAAAAUAUAUUAAAAUGUUCUUGACGUUUUAAAAAGCAUACUAGUUAGUCCAUAUAUUAAUUUUAAUUAUUAAAUAUUUAUGAAAAUACUAAUUAGUAGACUUUUAAAGUGUCAUAUAUAUUUUAAUGUAUUUUUCAAAAUCGAUAAAUCAAAUAGUGAGUUUUUCCAUACUAUAAAAACUAAAUAGUAUUUUUUUUUUAAAUUUACGGUUAGUUAAUUAUAAAUAAAUGAAGUCAAAAUUGUUGUAAAUAUUAAAAUUAUAAAAAUUAAAUAAUUAAUUAUUAAAUUUAAUGGAACUAAACUUUUAUAAAAAGUGGAAUUUAUGAAAAUAAAUUGUUAAAAAAAAAAAGAAAACUCUAAAUAAUGAAUUUAUAGCUCGUGAUAUCUUAUUUUGAAUAUACUUGAAAAAAAGGACUAGACUAUGUAAUCAUAAAAUUAAAAAAAAGUACUUAUCUAAAAUUUAUAAUUUUUUUUACUCUCAUUUCUAAAUAUCCUACUUAGGUAGAAGUGGAUGAAAUCCUUUUUUAGUGGGUUCUACUGCAGAAAAAUCUAAUUUUUUUCACCGUCAUUCCUAAAUAUCCUAACUGGAUAGAAGUGGAUGAAGAAGUGAUCGUAAUGAGAAUCAAAAGGGUGGAGAAUAAGAGAGAAAAGAUUAAUCUAAUAGUGACUUUUAACCUAAAGAUUAUUUUAUUAAGAGAAUGAAAUCUUAAAUUAUUUCUCAUUAAUUUGAUAAGAUUUUUUUUAAAAAAAUGGGAAUUGAAGAUUGGGAGGAGUAGAAUCAAGAUCUAUCUGAUUUACUCAGAUGCACUUACCAGAUUAAAUCUGUGAGUGCAAAAUGAUAAAAAUUAAGUUAUGUAUUUUAUUAAAUUUUACAAAUUAUAUUAUAAAUUACUUUAGAUAAAAUUAGGAAUGAUAUACUUGUCACAUAUAUUGAUGACAAAAUUACCAAAAAAAGAUUCAUCUAUUUAAGAUGGUGUGUUUAUGUUCUAAGGUAAAAUUAUAAAUAUUUUCAAAUAUAAGUGUGAUAACAUAAAAUAAUGAGAAAAAAAGAAGAGAGAUUAUAAAAUGAUAUAAAGUGAAGGAUUAAAUGAGUAUUUGCAAGUCUUUUAUGGGUUUUAUUUUUCUAUUUUGUGAGGUUUUACUUUUUCUCUCUUUAGCAUGAAGGCACAAUUAAGGAUGAUAAUGGAGAGUUUUGACGGAUAUUCAAUCUUUCCAAAUUUUAUUGGGAUGAAUUUGGAUAGGUUCAGUUGGUAAAUGUUUACUCAUUUAGAAUAACUAUAUAUCUUUUUAAUUUGUUAAUUAUAUAUUCAAAUAUAAAAUAUUAUAUCAAUAACAAAAAUUAUUUAAUGAUAUUUUAAUAAUUAAAUAAUUAUUGAUCAAUUAACAUUAAUAAAUGAAAAUUUUUAAUUCUAGAUAAAAAAAUUAAAAUUAUUAUCUUACCACAUUAUAUUUACAGAGUUCAAAACAGAGUUUAAGCUAUUAUAUAUUAUAUUUACUAUUUAAAUUAUCAGUAAGAAUAAUAUAUUUAUAUUUUUAGGUCAAUUAAUAAAUAAUAGUCUGAUGGUAAGUAUAUCUGAAUAAUUCUUUAAUAGAUAGAAGACAAUAAUAUAUAUUUAUACACUCUAAUAAAUGUCUAACCACAAUUUUAACUCUAAUAAAUGUCAAACCACAAUUUUAACAUAUAAAUAGAAUGAUAAAUCCAUUUAAUGUUUAUAAAUUUUAGUAUUUUAGUUAUAAUUUAUAGAGUGAUAUACCCAUUUAAUACUUAUAAAUUAAAAUUAAUUAGUAUUUUAGUUAUAACUUAUAGAGUGAUAUACCCAUUUAAUACUUAUAAAUUAAAAUUAAUUAGUAUUGUUAGUUAUAAUUUAAAUAGUAAACAUAACAAAUAUGUGUUUAAGUUAGUUAACAAAUAAUAGUAUAUAUCCAUAUUCAUGAAAUAACUAACUCUCUAACUGAUAACAAUAACAUAUAUUUAUAUAUUCUCAUAGCUAACUACAACUUUAAUAUAUAAAUAGAGUGAUAUACUUAUUUAAUACUUUUAAAUUAAAAUUAAUUACUAUUGUUAGUUAUAAAUAUAUUUUAAUAAGUUAAUAUUAAAAAAAUAACAAGAUUAAACUAGCCCUAAUUAGAUUUAAAUAAAUUGUAUUCCCUUCUUCCCUUAGCCGAAAACCCAACUUCAUUGUUGAGUGUUGAUAGCCCAUUUUCUCUUUACCUAGCUAACAGGCAACGGCUCUUCUUUCGCUCACCUAGCCAACAUCCCUUCCCUCACUCACCCAAUGUUAAUAUUUCUCCGUUGCUCAUCCAAUAGCACGCUACAAUCUCUCUCCCUCCCUCUUCUAGCCAAUAGCCUUUCCUUACUCACUUAGCGACAUCUUUUCUCCCUUUGUGAAGCAACAACAAAUUGAUUUCCUGAGCCUUUUUUCCACACUCCUUUUAUCAUAACCUUUCUCCCAUUGCAAGGUGGCAACAUUCCUCCCUCCCUCAGGCAUUAAUUUACUUUAUAUGUGUUCUUUAAUUUAGAUAUUUUCUUUUUUUUUUUUCUGUUGAAUCUUUACAUAUUCACUUUAAUUCAUCCUUUUUAUGCUCUUUAAUUGAUUUGCUUUGCAUAUUGUUGAAUAUAAAGAAAUUGUUUUGUUUAUGGUUGUAAAUUGAUUUGUUGAUUAGGCUUAUAUCUGCUUACUGACUUAAAGAAAUUGAUUUGCUUGUAGUUAUAAAUUGAUGUUUUGAUUAAGCUUAUGGUUGUAUAUUGACCUAAAGAAAUUAAUUUGGUUGUGGUUGUUAAUUUAUCUGCUUUAAAUUUAAGCUAAUAUCCAACUGUAGGUCAAUUCUUGAAAUAUAUGUUAUUAUUCUUACAUAUAGGUAGGUAUUGUUUGCUAACAUAUAUUGUUUUUCAUAUUUAGGAUAUUUAAAAUAUCAACAUUUAAUAGUUUCAAAGCUAUAGAGAGUUAUAAAGUGGGUACUGCUUCUCAAACUUCUGCAAUGACUCUGCCUUCUAGUAGCUCCUCCUAUUAUGGAUUAGUUAAUCGACACCAAUCCAUCCCCCUCAUACAUUGCCAACCAAUAUAGAUCCAACUGCUAGUCUUCCUCCAAUUAGCAAUUCGGGUAAGAAAAGAAAUUUGACAUCAACUGUUUGGGAUCAUUUUGAAAACUUCCAUUGUAGUAGGGAUGAUUAGGCAAUUUGUAAUUAUUGUAAGACAACCCUUAAAGCUAAUAGCAAAUAUAGGAUCAAUGUAAUACCAGGCUAGACCCCGGCAUCGGAAUUCCAACUUUCCGGCGGAAUCUCCGUUGGAAUCCGGAAUCUCGGAUGUCGGAACAUCUUGAAGGGUAAAAUAAGGUUUUAUGAAAUGAUUUUAUAGUUUUAAUGCUAAGUUUUUGAAUUAAAGUUUUCAAAUGAAGAAACUGCCUUGGAGGGAAAAGCCCAGGUUCGGCCGCCGAAUAUGGUGCGGUUGCAGAAGCUCCUUUGGCCUUCAAAGGUGGUCUGGCCAGCCACCUAUAAAAGGCCCCUAGUCCGAAAAUAGAUGAGUUUUCUCUCUCCAUUUUCGGGUAUAGGUGAGGUUCUGCCAUUCCAUAGUUGAUUUUAUGUUUUUUCCUUCAAGAUUUUUAUAAGUUUUUGCUUUGUUUUGAAGAUUUUAAGCUUAAAUCAAAGUUUUUAAGCUUGGAGACCUCCGGAGACCAUUUUCUCCUCAUCUCCGAGUUCGGAUCACAUCUACUCUCGAUCUUCAAGAGGUAAGUGUAGAUCCCCAUCUAUUCUUAUGUUUUAAGUAAGUUUUAAAAGGGGUUAAGGGUAUAUAUUGCAUGUUUUUUAGUAGGAUAUUAUGUUAGGGUUUAUGUUAGCUUUAUGCUUAAUGUGAUGUUAUGUGUUGUUUGUUGGGAUUUAGGCUAGUUUUAUGCCCCUUAUGCAUGUUGAAAUGUGUAUGCAUGUUUUAGAAUAGUUGGAUGUGAAUUUUAGAGAGUUUUGGUGGCUUGGGCAUGGUGGCAGAAUCGGGUUUUGUCACCCAGGAAGACCCAGGUUCGGCCGUCGAAGCAAGGAUCGGCCGCCGAACCUGCUAGGGGAGGCAGCUUUGGCCGCCUAAACUCGCCCCCGAAAGAUGGACUUUCAGAUCUGUGGGGGAGUUUCGGCCGCUGAACCUGCCCCCAAAAGUGCUUGACUUUCGGAUCUGUAGGGGCUUUCGGCCGUCGAACCUGCCGCCGAAAGUCUUCUGUCUAGCCUUCCUUUGCUUAUUUUCUAUGCAUGUUUUAUGAUGUCUUAGGGGGUUUUGGGGAGAUGUUUAGUGUCAUGUUAGAGUUGGUUCGAUCCCUCAUUUGAGUGCAACUGUGUAGGAUCGGACUCGAGGAACCAAGGAGGCCAGCAGUGAGUUAGCUGUUCCAGAGUCAGCCAGAGGUGAGUAGAACAGAACUAUUUAUUAUUUUAAAGUAAUCAAACUUUUAAGCAUGUUCAUGCAUCGUGAAUGCCAUAUUAUACUAUAGGUUGUUUGCAUUAGAAUUCACGAAUAUGCUGCAUUGCAUAAUUUGCUGUUGAUGUGGAUGGAUAUUGGAUGACCCACUAGCCCUCGAUACGAUAUGAUACGAUAUGAUAUGAUAUGAAAUGAUAUGGAAGUCCAGGUCGAGGCCCAUUCUACGCUCCUGGCACAGUUGGAUAUGUUAUGUUAUGUUUAAGAGGAAGUCCUGAGGAGCUCUGUCGAGGGCCGGACAUUAUUUGGAUAUGUAGAGGGUUACUGGUGACGAGUCCAUCCUUGAUGUGAAUUGUUUGUGUUGUGACGCAUUUCAUGAAAGUAUAUGUUUAUUAAAUUAUUUUUAUUGUUCUGCUCACUGGAUUUUAGUAGCUCACCCCUUUCCUCCUAACCCCCAGGUUUGCAGGUCAAAGAUAGCACAGGAAGUCGGCAAGGGUGAUGCUUAUGUUGAUGUAAUAGAUAGUAGUGGACAUGUAAUAUGUAAUGGUUAGAUUUGUGUUUUGCCCUAGUUUAUGUUUUUGUAAAAUCCCUUUGAACAUGAUUAUUAUGUAAAGGUUUAAUGAUGAGUUAUAUUAAUCCAAGCUUGAUGUAUAUGAUGUUGAUCACACUACAGCAUUUGAUGAGGGCUCUAGUGUGGGUUUUGUGUUUACAGUAUAUGGAGAAUGUACAGGUCAAGCUUGGUAUAUGAAAAGUUUAAAAUUUUUAUGGAAAUGUAUCUUCAUGUUUGGGAUUUUAUCAGGUACACAGGAUGCAUAGUAGGCUUGCUAUGGGUUCCGGCGACCUUAAGUCGAUCUGAAUCCUAGCGCCGGUAGCGGUCCGAUUUUCGGAUCGUUACAAUCAAGUUUUUAUAUAAUCAUAUAAAGAAGUGUGCAAAGAAAGGCAAUUCAAACAUAGUGAAAUGUCUAGAUAAGCAAAAAUAUAUUUUUAUAGAUAUAAUAAAAGAUGAGAAAGUACAUUUUCAAAAUCCUACAUUUGAUCAACCAAAAAGUCAAGAAGGGAGUUGACAUAUACUAUUAUGUUACAUGAGUAUCUAAUUUUCAUUGUUUACCAUGUGGGCUUUAGAAAGUUUAUUACGAGCUUUCAACUGCUUUUCAAGAUGAUUUCUAGAAAUACUAUUAAGAAAAAUAUUUUGAAUGUCUAUGAUAUUGAGUUUGACAAAUUAUACAAAUCAUUGAGUGUUAAAUAGCAAUCACCACUGAUAUAUGGAUAGCAAAUCAAAAGAUAUGCUAUAUUUCUAUUACAUUAUAUUAUAUUGAUGAUUCCUAGGUGCUAUUUUAUGAUAAUUUUCUUAUUUCUUCAUCUUUAUCAAUAUGAAGAUUUAUUUGUAAUAUAUUUUAAUAUUUUAUUAAUUGUAUGUAAUUAUUAUUAUUAUUAUUAUUGUUAUAUAGAUUUGUGUAUGUUCCGUUGUACUAAGAGAAACUUACAAAAUAUCUAAUGAAGGCUUUUAGCAAGUGGAAUAUAGAGAUAAAAAUUUCAAUAAUCAUUGUAGAUAAUUUCUCUACUGAAAAUGGUAUGGUUAUGUUGUUAUCAAUAAACUAUUUAGUAAUAUUUUAUGUGAUGUGGCUAUAUUGCAUAUGAAGUGUUGUGCACAUAUUUUUAUUCUUGUUGUUAAGGAUGCGUUGAGUAUUAUUGAGAGUUCAUUUUUAAGAAUUAAGGACAAUGCAGUAUUUUGAGUAGAUUCUCCUCAAUGAUGAAAAAAAAUUUAAGAAAUAGAACCAUUCAAAGAUUACUUGUACAAAAAAGUUAUGUUUAUAUUAAAAAACAAGAUGGAAUUCAACAUAUUUUAUGUUUCAAAUGGCAAUUGAAUACAAGAAUGUUUUCCCUAGGGUGGGAAUUAAGAAAAAAAAUUAUAAAGAUGUACCUAAUGAUGAUAUUGGGAAAUGACAAAAAAAGUUAUAAAUAAAUUAAAAACUUUUUAUAGCAUCACUGAAAUCUUUAAUAGAAGAAAAUCGCUAUGUUUACUAGAAUGUUUGAAAAAUAUUAGAGUGAUUCAUAUUGUGUUUGGCUGUUGCUAUCAAAUUAGAUCCACAGUAUAAGAUGAAAGUGGUGAAAUAUUAUUUUUUCAUAAUUUAUGGCGAUGAUGCAUUAAAUGAGAUUGAGCAAUUUAAGAUUACUUAUUAUGACUUACUCAAUGAUUCCAAUCUCGAAUUCUUAAUCCAAAAUCUCAAAAUUCAUUUUUAGUUUCACUUGUUGUGAUAUCAAAAUCAAUAUUCUUUAAAAAAAAAUCUUAGUAAUUUAGUUGCAUUUCUUAACUCUUACUCCACUAAUUUAGUUACAAUACUCAAUAAUUCCAAUCUCUAAUUCCUAAUCCAAAAUCUCAAAGUUUAUCUUUAGUUUCACUUGUUGUGAUACCAAAAUCAAAAUUCUUUUAAAAAAAAUAUUAGUAAUUUAGUUGCAUUUCUUAACUCUUCCUACACUAAUUUAAUUGAAAGUUUAUUCAAUGAUUAAAAUAACAAUAAAAAAUUAUGCACAUAAAAAGAAAACAUGCUCUCUAGAGACAUUUUUAUAAAGGAGUAAAACAUAAACUCAAUGGCAUUAUAUUAAGAGCAACAAAAUAUUUCAUAUUUAUCAGUAAAGAGAGUGUAGAGAAAAUAUAAAAAUUGAUCGAAACCAUAUGUGAAUUUUGAGGAUAUUUUAAGAGAGAGAAAAAAAAAGAGUUUGAGAGCACCUGUUAAGAAACUCACUGACAGGACAGUGAUGUGAAGUUUCUAGCUCAUUUCUGGGUAACUUUAUGGAAACAUUUUGGAACUGAACUUCAAUACAGCAGUGCUACCCAUCCCCAAACUGAUGUACAAACUGAAGUGGUGAACCACAAGUUUGGCAAUCUUCUGCGCUGCAUCUGCAGUAACAAGAAAACUGCUUGAGAUCUUGUUCUUGCCCAAGCAAAAUUUGCUUACAACAGUAUUUUCCACAACUUUACAAAGAUGUCACCAUUUGCUGUUGUGUACAGGAAAGUCCCAGCGCAUACAGUUGAUCUUAUUGCCUUCCCUCAAGUUCUCAAAAUAGUAUCGCAGCAAGCAACUUGGCAAAGCAGUACGUGGAUGUUUUCAAACAGGUACAACAAUACCUUACAGAGGCCAAUGAUAAAUAUAAAGCCACAACUAAUAAACAUAAGCGUUUCAAGUCCUUCAAUGUCGGUGACCAAGUUAUGGUGUAUUUACGUAAGGAGCAUGGUGGAGGACAGAAAAAGCUUGACGCCAAGAAGAUUAGUCCAUUCCGAAUCAUUCAGAAGAUCAAUGACAAUGCCUAUGUUCUUUGACCUCUCACAUAAGAUGAAAAUUUUUAAGACGUUUAAUGUAGCAGAUCUAUUUUAGUACUACCCUGCUGAUGACAACUUGAGGUCGAGUUCAUUACAAGUGGAAGGGAAUGACAUGUAGCAACUAGUCUUGGACUUUACGGCAGACUUGGAACGGACCUAAUUUUUAUUGCCGACGUCCGAUAGAGAUUCACGAUAACUUUUCGGAAAGGAAAUUUCGAGAUGCACGACUUUCAAAAGUGUGACAAGUGCCACAAGCCUGUCAUAAAGUUCAAUAUGAAAAUUCCAUCAUUUAUGAGGUCAAUUUUAUAUUUUAAUUAUUUUUUUUUGGAUAUUUUGGGUAUUUUCAUAAUUUUGCUUAUUAGGAUUUUGUUUUUAUUAUAAAUAGCCUCCCUUAUCUAUUAAAAACUCACCUUUUCAAUUUUUGAGGAAUUUAAAUAAGAUUUUUAGUUAUCUAGACUAUCUUUUCUUUUAUUUCGUUUUAAUCAAACGAUACUGAUUAAAACUCCUGGCGGAGUCUAAAUAGUCUUUUAUCACUCACCUAUAAUCCUUACAAGAAAUUGAGGGAAAGAAAGAGGCAAGAAGAGAAAAGAGAAUGAAAAAGAAAAUGAAAAGGAAAGAGAGAAUAUAACUAAAAAAUAAAUAAUAUUGUUAUACUAUAGACAAUUAAUUUCAAUUGGUUUGUAUAUAUCUUAUAAUUGAUUUGUUAAUUGUAUCGAAUUAAUAAAAUUAUUUAUAGUUGAUUAACAAAUAUUUAAUAUUUAUUUUAAAACUAAUUUAAAUACUUAGAUCUUUUUCAUACAAAAAUAAAUAGUAUUUUAGAUUAUAUAACAAUAUAAUUUAUAGACAGAUUACGAAGAUAAAUUUAUGGGCCUAUUAGAGCAAAAUAAGAUUCCUAAGAAAGUGAAAUAAGAUUCCUAAGAAAGUAAAAUACAAUUUUUAUAGGACAAGACAUUUAAGUUUCAAUCUAUUACCAAAAAAGAAUGUGAAUGUUUAAAUUGAUGUACAACAAUAGACAAUAGGAUAAUUUAUAGUGUAGUUUCUAACAUUUUAUUAAAAUUCACAAUUUAGUCAUUAUUUUUUAAUAAUAAAUAAUUUAAUUUUAAAAUUUUUAUUUUAUUAGCAAAGUAGUUUUUAUAUUGAAUUUAGAAAAAAAUUACUACUUAGUUCAUAUAAUAUGAAAAAACUCACUAAUUAGUCUCUUAAUUUUAAAAAAUAUACUAAAAUGUCCUUGAUAUUUUAAAAAAUCUAUCAGUUAGUCUCUCAGUUAAUUUUAACUCUUAAGUAUUAUAAGAAAAAGUCUAAAAUAUAUCUAAUACAGAGAGACUAAUUAGUAGACUUUUUAAUAAUCUGAGUGACUAAUUAAUAAAUUUUAUAAAACUAUAUGAACUAAAUAGUAAAUAUUUAAGAGCUAAAAUUAAUGAAAUAACUAACUAGUAGAUUUUUUUUAGAACGUGAGGGAUAUUUUAAUAUAUUUUUCAAAAUCGAGAGAUUAAGUAGUGAAUUUUUCUAUAUCAAAUAACUAAAUAAUAAUUUUUUCCUUAAAUUUACCAUUAGUCAAUCAUAAACAGAUGAAGUCAAUUUUAAUUAAAAAGAUUAAAACUAUAAGAACUAAAAAAAUUAAUUAUUAAAAUUAAAGGAACUAAACUUUUUAAAAAGUGAAAUUUUAGGGAAUAAAUUAUUAUAAUCUAACUAUGACUUAUUAUUUUAUUAAUAGAAUAAAACUAGAUUAUUUAUCAUUAAAAUGAUAGGAUUAAAUUAAGUUGUGUAUUUUAUUAAAUUUUAAAAAUUAUAUUAUAAAUUACCUUAGAUAAGAUGGUGUAUUUAUAUUCAAGGUAGAAUCAUACAUAUUUUCAUACGCUAAGUGUGAUAACAUAACAAAUAGAAUAAUAAUAUAUUUAUGAUGACUAAUUCUGACAAUAACAUAUAUUUUUAUAUUUUUGAAUAAAUGUUUAACUACCAUUUUAAUAUAUAAAUAGAAUAUCCAUUUAAUAUUUAUAAAUUAUAAUUAAUUAUAAUUUUUAGAAUAAUAUACCUACUUAAUACUUACAAAUUAAAAUUAGUUUGCAUUGUUAGUUAUAAUUUAAAUAGUCAACAUGACAAAUAUUUGUUUAAGGUGGUUAACAAAUAAUAGUAUAUAUUUAUCACUAUAAUAAAUUUAACUUUUUUUGACAAAAUUUCAGUGGGAAAAAAUUGCUACUAAAAAUUCACUAAAAUUUAUAGAUAAACAUCUAAAAUUUGUCACUAAAUAUAAAAAAUGGCUCCUAAAACUUUCAGUUUUGUAUUUUUUUAUGGUGAUUUAAUGGAAAAUUUUAAUUUUUGCUAUUAAAUAUUUUAGUAGCGAAUUUUACGCAUUUAUCAAUGAUUUUUAUCCCUAUUAAAAGUUAAAUUUUAUAGUAUAUAUUCAUUAGAUGACUAAUUCUCUAAUAAAUAACAAUAAUAUAUAUUUACCUACUCUAAUAAAUGUCCGACCACAACUUUAAUAUAUAAAUAAAUGUUAUACCCAUUUAAUACUUAUAAAUUUUAGUAUUUUAAUUAUAACUUAUAGAGUGAUAUAUCCAUUAAAUAUUUAUAAAUUAAAUAGAAAAUAUAUUAAAUAUGUAUUUAAAUUAGUUGACAAAUAAUAGUAUAUAUCUAUAUUAAUUGAAUGACUAACUCUCUAAUAGAGAACAAUAACAUAUAUUUAUAUACUCUAAUAGAUAUCUAACUGCAACUUUAAUAUAUAAAAAGAGUGAUAUACUUAUUUAAUAUUUUUUAAAUUAAAAUUAAUUAUUAUUGUUAGUUGUAAUUUAUAGAGUGAUUUACCCAUUUAAGUUAUAAAAAUAUAUUUUAAUAAGUUAAUAUUAAAAAAAUAUAACAAUAGCAAACUAUCCCCUAAUUAGACUUAAACUUACUAAAUUGUACUCCCUUCUUCCCUUAGCCGACAACCCUACUUCUCUGUUGAUUGUUGAUAGUCCAUUUCCUCUUUGCCCAGCUAACAGGCAACGCCCCGUCCUUCACUCACCUUGCCAACAUCCCUUCCCUCACUCAUUCAUAUUAUUAUCUGCACAAUAACGUUCCCAUUUUCUCAUAAUAUUUGAAUGCAAUCAUAAAAAAUUUAACAUAUUUUUUAUAGGUUGAAUGUAUACAUUUAAAUUUUUAAUUCCAUCUUGUACACAUAAAUUAAUCACAUAACAUGCAUAUCUAAUAUGAAAAUAUUUACUACCGAAAAUUGGUUGUCAUAUAUUUUUCAAAGAUGUAAUAGAUGCAACAUUUGCUGAAGCAUUAUCAAAGCCAAUGGAAAAAAAUAUUAAAUGUAAGUAAAUAUGCUUCUAAAAUAUUUUUAAUUAAUCGUGCAAUAUUAAAGCUCUAAAAUAUAAUAAUCGUUUUUGCAUAACAUAAUUCCCACAUAUGAAUUAACUUAUCAAUAAUAUGUCCAGAUAUCUGAACAGAUAGAAACUUUAUAUUUCAAUUAUAAUAACAAUUGAAUCAAUUGAUUUUUUAACUUUACUAUAACAUGACUCUAUAUAACUUUUUAAAGAAUUAUGAGAAAUUUUUUUAAUAUUAAGAAUAUAAAGUAGCUUGAAAAGAUUUGCAAACUUGCAAUUUUUUAGUAAAUGAAAAAGACAAUUGUUCAAGACAUACUAAUUUCGUCAUUUCUUCUUUAACUAAAGCAUAAGAAAAUAGUACGUGGUUGCAUACCUCUAAAUUUUACAAUUUGGAUCUGUCUUGUAUCACCACUUAUUUCACUAGGAUGUUUAUUUUGAAGAUAUCUGCAGAAAGUUUCAUAAUCACUUUUGUUUAAAAAUUUAAAAAGGUGAUUACAAGAAUUGCAUUUUAUCUUAAUUUCAUUAUCGAUGAAUAUUUUGAUGAAGUGAACUGUAAAAUUAUUAAACUUUAACGUACGAUCUAAUUGGGUUGACUUUAUUAUUGACUCCAUUGUUGUAUUGGUAUUGACGCUCAUCUUCACUAUCAUUUAUAUUUAUAUGUUAUGAUCUGAUAUUUAUUGGAUAUGUGAAAGGAAGCUGGCUAUUAAAUAAUUCAUUGAAAUUAUCAGAACCUAGGGAUCAAACAUAUUUUGAUUGAUAAAAUUCGUUGCUUUCCUUUUGCCCUUAUCUACUCUCAUUGAUAAAUUUCAAGAACUUGCCAUGUUAUAAAAAAAAAUCAAAUUAAAGUAUUAGAGUUUUUGAGAAAAUGAGAAUAAUUUGAGGAACUGAAAUGAUUUAAAAUUGAAGAAAAUAUUGAGAGAAUUGAGAAUUGGGAGAAUUGAAUUGAGAAUUGAGAGAUCUUUUAGAUGAUUUUGAGUGAAGUAAUAUGUUGAUAUUUAUAGAAAAAAAUUAAUUUUAAAAAUAAUAAAAAGGGGUCUAAAAUUGGAUCGUUUGCUACCUUCAGGCCUGGAGCCUAGGUUGCAAGCCUGAAGGUAGGCUGCCAGCUGUAGACCUACAUGUGCAAGCUUGCUGCCUGCAGCCGAUAAAGAGAGGGUUAGGCACUGCCAUGUCUAACCAUGGGGAGCCACGUGGCAAGUUUGAUAUGUGGCAUCCCCUGGUUGGAUGUUUUUAUAUUCAUUUCAAUUUAACUGGAAUCUGACCAGGCUGCCGGUUUGAACCGGACGGUUCCAUUUCGAUUCUAUUUUUGGUUUAGAGAAGGAAAGCCCGUAACCGAUCUCCCUCCUAAAAGACUGCGGUGCGGUUCAUGAACUAGAAAUGUUUGACCGGUGUGAUCCCAAGUUUGAUCAGUUCGAUUCACUGUUUGAACCGUACCGUGGCUAGGUCUAAUCACAACCUUUCUCCUAUUGCAAGGUAGCAACAUUUUUUCGUCACUCAGAUAUUGAUUUACUUUAUAUGUGUUCUUUAAUUUAGACAUCUUCUUUUUUUUGUUGGAGCUCCUUAAUUGAUUUGCUUUAGAUAUUAUUGAAUAUAAAGAAAUUGAUUUACUUAUGGUUGUAAAUUGAUUUGUUGAUUAGGCUUCUACCUACAUACUAAGGGCUCGGGCCGGGCCAUAGAUCCUGCUAAGACCGCGCUUCCCCCUGCUAAUAAAGGAAAAAGGGUUACGGAGCUGCUAUCUUCUGCCCCUGACAACGAGUCCCUCAAUGCUGCCGAGGUGACUCCCGAGUCUACGGCGGCUUCUAUGGCUGAGAUGCUGCAUGAGAAGAUGUUCGGGAGGGUCUCCAAUGUCUCUGAUCCCUGCUUCCUUACUCUUGCCAGCCAUUUGGUCUACUAUACCAAACAGUAGGUGGCCUUCCGUUCGCGGUCUCAGGAGGACCUAGGAGAUAGCCUGAGAGAGAUGCUCCUCAUGAUAAUUCAUAUGCUUUCUUAAACGUGUUUUUAUCUUUAUUCUCUUCUUAACUUUGUUUGUUGCCUUUCCUUGAUAGGCCUGGGCGUGUUCAUGGAGAUCGACGUUUGGGAUCAGUCCCUUCAGAGCUCGAUGGACCAACGCAUCAACAAAACGCAUCGUGAGGAGAAUAUCAUGGCUACUGGUGAGGCCCGUGGGAACAUCAUCGAGCUUCGGAACCAGAUCGAGGGCCUCACCAAACGCCUAGGAGAUAUGAGGGAAGAGGUUAGCAAGGCUUCUGAAUGGGCUUCCAUGGUGGAGUCUCAGCGAGCUGAAGCCUUAGCCCAGUUGUCUGCUUUGGAGGAGUCCUGCCGCCAGCAUGAUGAGGCCCGGGCUCAGCGCGAUGAGGCUUUAGCCCAGUUGUCUGCUUUGGAGGAGUCCUGCCGCCAGCAUGAUGAGGCCCGGGCUCAGCGCGAUGAGGCUUUAGCCCAUGCUAUUGUCUUCCAACAAGAGCUUAAUAAACACAUUGAAGACCUGAAAGGCAUGGCCUUGGCAGUUGAGGAGUCUCGCUGACUCGCGGUUGUUGAAGCCGGUCAAAAAUAACCUUUCUGGUUAUCAACAAUUUACAACUGCAGAUAGUGGUGAAAGGAUCGAAUCCACAGGGAAUUGAAGACUUACCUAUUUUCCUUAUAAAGACCAAUAAAAUAAACUGCAAAAGAAAAAAACUGAAAACGAGAUAAACUAAAACGAGAUAAAACUGAAACGAGAUAAAACUGAAACGAGAUAAAACUGAAAUAAGAUAAAACUGAAACGAGAUAAAACUGAAAACGAGAUAAUCUGAAACGAGAUAAAACUGAAAUGAGAUAAAACUGAAAGGAGAUAAAACUGAAAGAGAAAUAAACGGAAAGCAAAAUAAACUAAAACGAGAUAAAACUGAAAGCGGAAUAAAAAUAAAUUGCAGUAAAAGUAAAAUAGGGGGUUUGAGAUUGGUUUGAUUAACAAACUACUGAAAGCAAUUAAAAUAAACAAAUAACAAAAUAAAAGAGAAAUAAAUAAUGAGAAAGAUCUAGUUGAAGAGUUGGAUCCACUUUAGUUGUUGGGAUUGAUCAUUGACACUUAGUUUCUUUUGGGUUGAUUCAAUAGAUUAGUUAUGGAGAUGGAAGACGCUUCUCACCACCAUUAUCUCUCCUUAUGAUUAAACCAAUUAGGGAACGUCCUCUAAUUAAUUACUAAUUAACAAAUUGCCAAGGAACGUCCUUGGGCCUUAGGCAUCAAAACAAUUGUCAAUUGCAUUAAGAAAUAGAGAGAUCCAAUCCUAGCUACCCAAACGUAUGGAGAUAACGCUAGAUCAUACAAUUUCCUUGGGUUUUAUCCCAAGUGUUCUUAUGUAAGAAUAAUCUAAGCAAUUACGGACUUAAAUCAUCCAAACUAACAUAUUAUUACUUUGCAAUCAAGAAUCAACGUAGAUCUAAACAACAAAGUAAUAUUGAAAUCAAGCAUGAAAUUGCAUAAAUAUUGAACAACCAAAAGUUAAACAAUGUUUGAUCAAGUCUCCCAAUCCAUAAAACAACCAAAGUAUCACCUAAUAUUCAACUAGAAUAAAAUAUUUCAGCCUCUCAUGGCUGAAACAAAACCAAAAAUAAAAGAAAAGAAGAAAGGUAGAAGAAGAGAUGUGAAUUUCGUAGGUGUCUCCCAAGGGGAGCUUAAAGGUCAUGUAGAGGCUUCCUAUGUGGCUUUUUAUAGUUGAAAAGUGUUGCCCUAGGUCAUACUUACUGUCCAAGAGGUAUUUUCUGCCCAAGAUGUGUCUGAAAAGGAAAGAAUCGCGCUUUUCGGCUUCAGAAGGAAGGCUGCGCGAAAAUGCACUGCGGAAGGAAGUUGGUGCGCGCGGUUUGGUCUCAGAAAGGGAAUGAGGCGCAGAUUAUGCUUCCUAAAUAAGUUUAGAUGCUGACCUUGCUUCCUAAUUAGUGUAGAGGCUGCCCAAGGUGCUGUCCAUGUGCAACUUGCUGCCUAAGUUGUUGUAGAAAAGGAAGGUGGCGCGCAGAUGGCUCUCAGAAGAGGAAAGCGCGCAGAUUGUUUCUGAAUAGGAAGGAUGCACGAAUUUUGAUCUUCAAAGGGGAAGAUAUGCUGUCCAUACAUUCCUUUUUAGGUGGAGCCUCUUUUGAAAUUUGAAUAUUGAAUGCAGAAGAGGAAGAGCAUCUCUUUGAGAUCUUGCUGCCUAAAUAGGAAGAUAUGACUGCUGCAGUGUGUGCACAUCUUUGAACAAGGAAAGAAAGAUCUGCGAUUUGAAUUUCAAAUAAUUUUCUGACUGAGCUUUCCUUGUUUGCUUUUGCUUCUGCACUUUCCUCAUUUGAAAACUUUCAUUUUCUGAAAACUUUCCUUAUUUGGAAACUUUCCUUUUUUGGCACUUUCCAUAUUUGGCACUUUUUAGCAGUUUUAAGAGCAUUUUCUCCAGAUUGUCUCUUGACACCUAAUAUCUGCAAAACAUAAUUAAAACCACAAAAUUAAGCAGAAAAGAUGUAAAUAAACAUCAAGAACAUAAUGAUAAAAUGACCUAAAAUAUGCUCUAUCACUCGCCUUCAGCAACAACAACUUCGCCAAGAGGUCAGCACUCUGGAAGAGAGAUGUACUCCCCUGUUGAAGGAUGCUUGGGCUGCAGAGGAUAGGGUCCAGCGGGCUUGCGAGGAGCGCCUACAGGAGUAUAAAGACUCUACUAAAUUUAAAGAUGUCAUUCAUCGGGCUUGUGAGGUGCAACUAGAGGAGUAUAAGGCCUCCGUAGAGAUGAAGGAAACUAUAUAUAAGGAGGCCUUCCAAAUGUUCGUCUUCGGCUACAAUCAAGGCUUGAAGUCAGCUAGGGAUGCCUCCUCCACUCCAUUGGCAGACCUAUGAGCUCCGGAAGUGGAUUCUGAUGGCGAGGAGGUGCGCUACGGAGAGGAUGAUAACCCUUUGCCCAAAGGUGCUCCUCGCUUGCCUCCUGGACCAGAGGAAAGGAUACUGUAGAUAAACCCCUUAAUGACUUAGUUAGUUCUGCCCCAUCUUCCCCUGCUGCUUCUGUAACCCAUUUAAAUAAUUAAUAAAGCUCAUUUGUUUGUUAUUUUUCUUCUGUUCACUUUUUAUUUCCCUUAUUAAAUUUGCUUGUAUUUUUCCACUUAAUCUGCUUUUGUAUGCAUAACUUGUGAAUGUAGCCAGGCCAUCAGCUCAUUAAUUUGGACUUGUUUGUUUUUCUUCCUAUACUUAGGCUAUUUUCAUGUUGAAUUGUGCUGAGCUGGUAUUCUGCCGACUUAUUUUACCUGCAGAUCAUCUUAUUUGCUGUGUUACUUAUUAUUUUUUGUCUGUUGAAUAUCUUCGUGUCUUCCUAUCGCUUAUUUCUUUGAAGUUUCUGAUUUUUAUUUUCAUUUUGAUUUUGCCUUAACUUUGUUUUUCUUUAAAUCUUAGGGACACUGGGCGUUUCUUCAAGGUCGGUGUUGUGCCUUAGACUUUACAAACCUUAGAUUAACUUUCUGAUGGAGUACGCUCUUUCAUGAAAUUUAUAUUAUAAUUCCUUAGGUUAAUUUUUCUACUAGCCGAGCUCUAUUUAUGAGGCAGGCAUCAUACCUUAAGUUAGUUUUUCUUAUGAGACGAGAUUCUUUGUGAGGUUAGACUCUCGUUCUCCUUUGAUUUGAGCUCCUCGGAGAGGUCAGAAAUAGUUCCUUGUUUGCGAUCCGGGCCCGUUUAUGAGGCCGGUCACUUAGGUUUGCGCUCUUUUCCUCGAGUCUCACGUGCGCCGAGGUCCUCUCUUUUAACUUUGCUCCCUUGUCUGAGCUCUUUGGAUCCUGUAUCAUUUCGGGCUCUUUAGCUUUGACUUUGGUUUACGUCUCUUACUCUUGAGUUUGUCUGUGUGCGCUUUCCGGGCUGCUUGCCUCCAAGCGUCUUUCAGAUUCUUUUUUUUUAGGUUAAGUCUUAAGGUUCUCUUCUUACCGAACUGGUUUGAUAUUAGGGGUUAAUCUUUGAGGUUGGUGCUUCUCAUUAUUGCCCCGGCUUUUGUUUGCAUAUGAGUCUUGAGGUUGGCGUGUGACCUAGGGACCAAAGUAAUAGAACCAAUGGAUAGACCUAACGAGGUGAAAGAAGGUGUAGAAUAACUCAAUAGAAGGGGCAAAACCCCUGUAAUACCCGGCUAGACUCCGGUAUCGGAAUUCCUACCGUCCGGUGGAAUCUCGGAUGUCGGAAGCCUCUAGUAGGGUAAAACCAUGUUUUUAUGAAAUGUUUUAAUGUGUUUUAUGUUUUAAGCAUGAAAGAAAAUGAGUUUUUGCAUGAAAAUAGCAUUGGAGGAAAACUCAGGUUCGGCCGCCGAACAUGCAUGCGUUGCGGGUAUGCUUUAGGCCCCUGAAAGCAUAAGUGAGGGAAGUCCAGGUUCGGCCGCCGAACCCCAAGUUCGGCCAAGGUGAGUCUCCGUCGCCCCUCACCCAUCUUUGGAGUCUUUCCUCUAGAUCUUUCAAGAUUUUCACUUGUUUUCACUUUAUUUUGAAGAUUUGAGCUUUUGAGCAAAGUUUUGGAGCUUGGUGGUUCAAGAACCCAAUUUCUCCCAACUUCGAGUUUAGGUCGUCUCCCUCUCGAUCUUCAAGAGGUAAGAGCCGAUCUUAAGCUCAUUGCAUGUUUUAAGUAAAGUUUUAAGUAGAUCUAUGGGUUAGAAUGCAUGUUUAGGUUAUGGUUAUGUUUAUGGGUAUAAAUGUGUGUUCUUGAACAAUGUGGAUGCUUGAUGUGUUGUAGAUGGGGUUUAUGAUGGUUUGAGGCCCCUAGGAACAUGUAUGCUUGUGUUUGUGUGUUGUAGAAUAGGUUUGAUGCAUGUUGGAAAGGUUUGGAGGCGAAAUGUGCAUAGGGAGCCAAGUUUCUGCCCUUUGGCAGAAACCAGGUUCGGCAGCCGAAGGACUUUCGGCCGCCGAACAUGGCUGGGGGGGGCAGCCUUUCGGCUGCCGAAGCUUGCCCCCGAAAGGAGACUUUCGUCUCUGUCUGGCAGUUUCGGCCGCCGAAAGUGCCGCCGAACAUGCAUGAGUUUCGUCUCUGUCUGGGAGUUUCGGCCGCCGAAGGUGCCGCCGAACCUGCCUGACUUUCGGCUCUGGAGGGACUUUCGGCCGCCGAACCUGCCGCCGAAAGUGCCCUGUCCAGGCCUCCUUUGCAUGAUUUUGUAUGGUUGUUUCAGGAUGUUUUAGGGGGUUUUUGGGGAGUAGUUUUAGUUAUGUUCAGGUAUGUUUGGUUCCUCAUUUGAGUCCACCUGUGUAGGUUCGGACCCGAGGAACCGAGGACCCCAGCAGUGAGCUCAGCUGCUUCGGUGUUGUCAGAGUCAGCCAGAGGUGAGUGGAACUAAACUUAAUCUUUUAAAUUAAAUGUUUUAUCAUGUUUCAUGCAUCAUGAUUAUGCUAUAGGAUGAUUGCAUUAGCUUCACGAAUAUGCCGCAUUGCAUCUAUUGUUGUUGAUGUGGGUGAAUGUUGGAUGACCCAAUUAGUCCAUGACAGGAAGACCAGGACCCCAUUCUACGGCCUGGCACAAUAUAAGGAAAGACCAGGACCCCAUUCUACGGCCUGGCACGGUUAUGGGACUCGAAGACCAGGAGCCCAGAGGAGGCCCUGGGGCAAAUGGUAAGUAAUGUGUGUUAUGACAGGAAGACCAGGACCCCAUGCUACGGCCUGGCACAAUGUUAGCUUGGACUAAUUGGUGACAAGUUCACCCAACCCUUAUGUGAAUUGUCUGUGUUAUGAUGCAUCUCAUUGGAGCAUAGUGUUAAUAUGUUUUAUAGUUCUACUCACUGGGCUUUUAGCUCACCCCUCUCCCUUUACCCCCAGGCUUGCAGGUACAGGAUAGAGCAGGAGUCCGGAUAGAGUAAAGAAGUCAUGUUUAUGUAAUAGUUAGUAAUGGACAUGAUCAUAUUGUAUUGUAAUGUUUUAAUCAGUAUAGAUGAUGUUUAUGGAUGCUAGAGGUGUGCUUGACCAUAGAUUGUUGUAUCCCUUUUUAAUACAUGAUCUUGGAUUUUUAUGAUGUUUAUGUAAACCAACUCAGCAUAUGUUUUGUCACCCAUUGGGGGGGGCAUUGAUGAGAUCCCACUGAGGGAUCAAUGUUAUGUUAAUGUAUAUGCACAGGUUGAGUUUGGUUGAUGUAUAUGGAAAGAAAAGUUUUAAUUUUUAUGUAUGUUGUUGAUCAUGUAUGGGAUUAUACAGGUUUACAGGUUAGAUUUCAGGCUUGCUACGGGUCCCGGCGGCCUUAAGCCAAUCUGGAUCCUAGCGCCGGUAGCGGUCCGAUUUUCGGGUCGUUACAACCCCAGCACGGGCAAACAUACUCGAAACAACACAUGAACAAAAUAGAAUUGGGGGACAACAUCCGAGGAGAUACCCUAAAAUGAUGAAAGACCUUAAUAAAGAAAGAGGUAAAAGGGAAGGUCAGCCUGAAAUCGCGCUGCUUGACGAAAAAGACUAAGUUACGUCCUUGCUGGGCGUCUAUCAAACCCACCGGUGGUGAGUAGGGGAGAAUGAUCCGCUCAUUAGGUAAGGGAGCCCUAAUUCUAUAGAUGUUAGUCUCAGAAUAGUCAGUAGAAAAGUAGUGAGAAAAGGAGGAAGAGGUGAUAGAGGACACUAGACCCACUACAUCAAGAAUCCUUGCAGAAGCCAUGAGAAGAGUAGGACAUAUCUUGAAUUAGAAAGGCAGGAAUUAUGGAGAAGAGAAAAGGCAAGACAACGGAAGCAACGCAAGAGGCAGAGUAACAAGUGAAAGUAAGAGCAUAAGUUUGAAACGGAUAAAGGCGAAGAGGAAACAUUUUGACAACAACUCUCCUAGAGCCGUGCAGUAAUAAUUGGAGUUUUGGGAUUUACCCCCUCAUUAAUCAUUAAUCAUGGAAUAAUUAAUAAGCAGAUAAAGGGGUACUUAUUGAUAAUUGGGCCAGGAUACCUCGAUCUUAUUUGACCUCGUACUGAAAAGGUCAGGCUUAACUCUACUACGGCCCAACACAUAGGUUUGCUUCACAUGCAAGCCCAAAAUUCACUUUGAUGAGUCAGACCGAACUCGAGUCUACGCAUGGGAGACCUGACCAUGUUUAUCCCUUUGGCCUCGUGAGACAACAAACCCAUGAUACCCGGGAUCGUAACCACAUGGCGCCAGAUGGAAUUAAAUGGCCGCCUGACAAUGAAAAAGAACACAGUACGUCUGUACGUACGGUCAGUAUAACUAUGACAAGAGGGUACAAACGCAGGAUAGUGGUUACAAAUCACUAAAGGAUGAAAGGAAAAAGGAAUAAAGGAAGUAAGGGGGGAUAAACUAGACUAAACUUACCAAAAUACAACUUGAGCCUGUUUUUUACUAGAUCUCAGGAUAUCAUUAGAUACGUGAAAGUAAAUAAGAUAGUUUAAUCUAGGAUCACAUUAGAUUGAUAGAUCAAAAGGUAAAAGCUUGUAAAAACAAAUCCAAAGGUAAAAGCUUAUAGGAUCUUUUAAAGCACUCAAUACUUUUAAAAUGUAAUAUGUAAAAAUAAUGAAAAAGAAAACAUAAAGGAUUUUCCUACAAGACGUAGACCUUAAUGUGAUUGCUAGGUUUAAAGUUAAUACUUUUCUAGGUUAUGGUAAGUAACAAAGUUUUAGUUAUGCUUUUCAGAAAGGAAAUAGCUUAGGAUGUCAACGGAUUAGUUGAUAGAGAAAGUUCUUUUCAGUUAUAGUAAAAGCGUUGAGAAACCUUACUCUAAUUUAAAGAUGAAAAUGUGAAUUUAAAAUAAAAUAGGUAAAGGAAAAGAAAAGGAAAAACAAUUAUUAAACUUGAGAUAUAUGAAGUAAAGAUUAUCACUGAAUGGUUGCUAAUCUUAGCGAAGAAAAAACAAAAUUUACCUUCGACUAAUGUCAAAGUUCCACGUCAGUUAGGGGUGCAUAGUUAAGUUAAAUUACCAGUUUAGACUUGUUAUAGGCUUCGAGAGUUUUAAAUUAAUUUGAACCCUAGGGUUGAUGACUGUCCUAUUCUAAAGGCGUUGUAAUGUGGUUGUUUUGAUAUAAAAUUCAUAGUGCAGCUAUCAUAAUUUUUAAUUUAGGGUGUAAACAUAAAAAGUAGGAAAGUCAGGACCUUUUUUGCCAUUAUUUUCAUAUUUUAAUUAUUUUAAUAUAAAUAUUUGAUAUAAAAAUAUUAAAUUUACUUUUAUAAAUGAUACGAAACAUAAAGAGAUUAAUAAUUUUCAAUAAAUUAAAGGUUUCAAUAUAUAAUAGAUCAAAGGGUGUUGGAGUUAUUUAUAUUUAAUAUUAUAUUUAGAAUAUAAAAAAAGAAAUAAAUAUUAUUUUUUAAAAAGAUUGAAUCCGAUUUCAACCAUUAUUUAUUUGCUUUUAAAAAUUUAUGUAAUUUAUGGUCCUAUAUGAUAAUAUUGACGGAUUUAUAUUAAGAUGCAUUUUGGCUUAGCUUUAAGAUUGAUUGAAUUUUAUAAUUCUAAAUUAAGUGGAAAAUUUUCAAUAUUUUUUUUUGGAAAGUAACGAUUUAUGAAAGAAAGUAAAUUUUAUUUAUAUUUUAUAUUAUAAUUUAUUUUCUUUAUUUUACUAGCAUUAUUAUUGUUAUUUUUAUGUUAGUUGAAUUAGAUUUAUUUUUUUAUUCAAAUAAAAUUAUCUUAUAUUUUUUUAUAAUUAAAAUUUAUUUUAUUUUUCUAUUUUAACUAGAUUUUAUUUUAUUCUCGACUCAAUUAAAAUUAAGAGAUUUUUUUGUUAUAAAUAAUUAUUUUUUAUAUAAGUUGAAUAAAUUUAAAAAAUUAAUAUUUUCUCCACAAUAAAAAUUAAAUUUAUAUUAAUAUUUUAUUCCUUGAAAAGUUUUUUUUUCACCUUUUAUCUUUUAGAAAGUUGAUUAUUCUUUAUAUUUAUUUUAUUUACAUUAUAAAAAUUUUUUUAUAACUUUUUAAUUUAGAUUUUAUUAUCUCAUAAUCUUUUAAUCAUAUCUAUUAGUUAAAAGUGUGAUAAAAUAAUUCUUAAAAUUCGUGAUUAAAUUAUAUGAAGAGUUUUUUAUUACAUGUUGAUUUUAAAUUUUGUAUCAAUAAAAUAUUAGGUUAAAUUUCAUAAAAAAUUAUAUUAUUUUCAAUAAUAUAUAUAUAUAUAUAUAUAUUAUAGGCUAGUAUACAUAAAUUUAAUUUACUUGUCAAUUAUUUGAAUAUAAAAAUUCAAUAAAAUGUUAUCAAUUUGAAAUGGAAUUAUAUUGAAAAAAAAUAAAAAAAUAUAUCCAUUAAGAGAAGGACGAAAUUUCCAAUGCUUUUAUGGGUAAGAGUUGAGGUUCAUUGGAUUCCAUUGUAGCAAUAAGAUAGGAGAAAAUACAGAGACAAAUACCCAUUAAAAUUUGUAAGCUUGCCUCUCAUUUGUCAACAUUCCAUUGAUUGUAGGGUCCAUGGAUAAUCAAAUUAUCCAAGAAAAACGCCAAUUUAGUACUUCAUAUGUUCCAUAGAUCAAAUGCUUUCCAUUUCAAACUUCAAAAAAUUAAAAUUAAAAUAAAAAUUUAAUCCAUAAUAAAUUAGCUAGCUAGCUAAUUUUUCCUAUCAAACCAUGAAACUAUUAAUUUUUUUAUAAAAAAAUUAUUAAUUGUCUUAUUUAUAUUAUUUAAUUCUUAUAAUUUUAAGUAUAUAUUACUUAAUUUUAAUAAUUUUAAAUAUUUAUAAUAUAUAAUCCUUUUAAUUAAAGUUAAAAUAGUUAAUUAACGGUUUUUCAAUAAAAAUAUUAAAUAAUUUAAAUUUAUAAAAUAUAUAGAUAUUUCAAUUUUGAUAUAAAAAUAACUAAAUAUUUUAGAAAUUAAGGAUUGUACAGUAAUUCUCUCAAAAUAAAAUAAAAUUUCAUAUCCAAUCAAGCCAUGACAUUUGUGGCCAAAUGAUUUUUUUUAUAUAUAUAAAAUUGAGAAAGGGUUCGAAAAGGAUCAAAUCAAUUGUGCAUAAAAAAACAAAAAAUGUUUAAUCAAGAAAGGUGGGUUGAGCUAUAAAAUCAACUUUCAAAGGGACCCAUUUAUUUUAGAUAAAAAAAGGUGGGGCCCAUUUAUCUUGAAACUUGGCACAAGAGUUGUCUCCUCGAACGUGAGUUAGUCAAAAUCAACUACUCCAAUUCUCUGUUUGGAUGUUUAAAUGUUAAAAAGAAAAUAGUUUGACGUUGAAUUUCAUCCGGAUAUUUAUUGAAUAAAUUUAUUUUAAUUUUUAUUUUUUUUUAUCUACAUUAAUUUAAUAAUAUUAACGUCCAUUUGUGUAGAAAAAUAUCUUACAUUUUAAAAAUAUAUUUUAUAAAAAACAUAUUUUAUAAUAAAAUAAUUUAUUUUUAAUUACUUGAUUAAUUGUAAUUUAAAUUAUAUGUAUAACAAUGUUAAUAAAAUAUAUAAAAAAUAUUUUUUAAAAAAAUUAAUUAAUAUUAAUUAAAGAUGACUUAAUUAUCCCUUUUAACUAUGAAUAAUAUUUUUGUUAAUUAAUUUUUUAAAAUUUUUAAAUAUUAAAAAAUAUGUUUAAAAAUAUUUUUCAUGACCUAAAUGAAAUUUUAAUGUUAAUUUAAUUUAAUCCAAAAACUAAAAAUACUAAGAAAUAUAACUUUUAUUUUUUGGUUUAAUUAAGAAAUCAAUAACUUUAGUCUAAUUUCCUAAUUUUAUCUUAAUAAAAAAUUAAAAGAAAUUUUAAUUUUCAAGCUAAGUUAAGAUUAUGUUGAAAUAUUUGAACUAAUUUAGAUUAAAAAUUAAAAAUUAAAAAUUAAAAAUGUUAUUAAACUGAAGCUCCCUCAUUGGUAAACUUGAAUAUUUAGCCGGAAAGAAAAACCAUGGAAAGAAAAUAACUAUGGAAAAAAAAAAUAAAGCGAGAUUUCUAAAUUUGUCUCAGUUUUUUAUUAGAUAUUUUCUUAAAAAUAAAAUAAAGAAAAUUGUGUAAGAAAUACUUUAUUUGAAAAUUAUAUGUAUAUAUAUCCCUAUAUGAAUAAUGAUGAGAAGAGUAAAAAAUAAAGUGUGAUGAUAAAUUUAUUUCUCUUGGUAUUGCUCUUUCCAUCCCCCAUAUAAAUCUAUUUAUUUUUUUCACAUGGAUUGCAAAAAGUUAAAAAAUUAAUUUUACUACUGAAUUAUAUAAGGUGAAUGAAAUAUUAUAUUUUAAACUUUCAUUUAUUUAUAAAAAAUAAUUUAUUUUAAAAAAUAUGUUUUGUAAAAAAUAUUGCAUCAUAUAAAGUUCUUAAUAAGAGUUUUAAAAGUGUAAAUAUAGUUCUUUUUUAAAAUAAAAAGUUAUUUUUUUUAAAUAUUUUAAUUUUUUAAUAAAAAUAUUUUUUAUUAAUUAAAAUUUUUAAAUAUCUUAAAUAUAAAAAAAUAUAAAUAUUUUUCAUAAAAUAAAUAAAAUUUAAAAUUUUAAAUUUACCCUUGUACCGUUAUUAAAACAUUAAAUAAUGCACUUUAAAUGAAUUAUACUCUAUUUAAUUUAUUAAACUUUUUAAUAAUAGUUCAAAAAUAAUUUAAAUAUAAAUGAAAUUUGGAUUUUUUAUUUUUUGUUAUAUAAUUCAGAAAAUUUUUUAUUAUUUUUAUCAUGUAACUAACAUAAAUAAAAGCAAUAAAUUUUGAUUAUAUAUUAACUGAUAUAAAUUUAAUUUAUAUUAUUAUAUUAUUAAAUUAUUCCUAAAACUGAUAAAUUUUAAAAAUUUUUAUGAGAGAAAUUGAAAUAGAAACAGUUUAAACAUGGUUAAAAAUUUUAACUAAUAAUAUUUGAUUAAAACGAAAUUUAAAAAAGAAAAGUUAAAAACUAAAAUUUCUUAGAAAAGUUAAAAACUAAAAUUUCUUAUUAAAUAAUUGAAAAUUAAAAAGUUACACGAUUAAAACGAAAUUUAAAAAAAAAAAGUUAAAAAUUAAAAUUUCUUAUUAAAUGAUUCAAAAUUGAAAGGUGUCAAACAAUUAAGAAAAAAAAGCUAUUUAUAUUAAAAAAAUAUUAGUAUGAAAAAUUAUAAAAAAAUUUAAAAAAAUAAUAAAAUCGUAAAAUGGACCCUUUUAAGUGAUGAAAUUUUCAUCUCGAAUUUUAUAAUAGGUUUGUGACCCUUGUCACACAUUUAAAAAUCAUGUACCUCAAAAUACUCUUUUCGAAAAGUUAUUGUGAGUCUCCAACGAAUGUCGGCAACAACAGUUAAACUCGGUCCAAGUUUGUCAUAAAAUCCAAGACUAAUUACUUUGAAUCAUUCCCUUCCACUUGUAAAAAACUCGACCUCGAUUUGUCAUUAGCAGAGUAGUACUGAAAUAGAUUCGCUACGUUAAACAUUUUGAAAAUUUUUAUAUAACCUGAAAAGUCAAAAAUAUAGGCAUUGCCAUUAAUCUUCUGAAUAAUCCGAAAUGGACCAAUUUUCUUUGAGUUAAUCUUUUUUUAUCAUCCACUACGUUUUUUGCACAAAUACACCAUAACUUGAUUACCAACAUUGAAGGAAUUGAAACGCCUAUGUUUAUCGACGACAACUUUAUACUUGUCAUUGGCUUCAACAAGGUAUUUUUGUACUUAUUUGAAAAUGUCCAUAUGCUGAUUUGGCAAGUUGUUUGCUUUAACACUGUUAUGAAAACCUGUAGGAAGAGUAAUUCAACUGUAUGCGUUGGCAUUCUUCUAUACACAACUGCAAAUGGUGAUAUCUUUGUAAAGCUAUGGACAGAACUGUUGUAAGAAAAUUCUGCUUGGGUAAGAGUAAGAUCCCAAGCAAUUUUCUUAUUACUGCGGAUGCAACGCAGAAAAUUGCCAAGAGUGCAGUUCACUACUUUAAUUUAGCCAUUAGUUUGAGGAUGAGCAUCACUACUUUAUUGAAGUUCAAUCCCAAAACGCUUCCAUAAAGUUACCCAAGAGUGGGCUAGAAACUUCACAUUUCUAUUAGAAGUAAUGGUCUUAGAAAUGCCAUGUAAACGAACAACCUCAUAGAAAAAUAGUUUUGCAAUAUGAGAAACAUCAUUAGUUUUCUUAUAAGGAAUGAAAUGCGCCAUUUUAGAGAACGUAUCAACGAUAUUAAAAAUGGAAUCAGAUCUAUAUUGAGUACAUGGAAGACCAAGAAUAAAAUCCAUAGUCAAGUCCUCCCAAGGGUAUUUUGGAAUAGGUAAUAGAGUAUAUAAGCUUGUGUUCUGGGCAUGAACCUUCUGAGUUUGACAAACUAGAUACCUCUGUACCAUCCGUCCUGUAUACUUUUUCAAUUGUGGCCAAUAAAAACGCUCCUCUAAAUUAGCAAUGGUCUUCUUACGGCUCAAAUGACCAUUCAAAUCUCCACCAUGGAUCUCUCGAAUCAAUUUUUCCUACAAAGAAGAACAAGAAAUGCAUAACUUGUUCUCUUUAAAAAGAAAUCCAUCAUGUAUCAAGAAUCCAUUAACAGGCUGAUGAGCCUGGACCUUCAUCCAUACAUCAGCAAAAUCAUCAUCUACAACAAAUAAAUCUUUCAAAAAUUUAAAAUCCACGACCUCCUGACUUACUAUAAUCAACAAGGUAGUCCUCCUACUUAAAUUGUUUGUUACCUUAUUAUUAUGGCCAGCCCUAUGUUUUAUGACAUAAUGAAAAGUUCGAAAAUAAGCUGCCCAUCGAGCAUGCAUCUUAUUCACAUAUUUUUUAGUUUUAAAGUGAAACAAAAAUUGAUGAUCUGUGUGAAUAAUGAACUUCCGCCCAUCAGAUACUGUUUCCAAGUUUUAAAGGCCUGGAACACUACAUAAAAUUCCUAUUUAUAAGUAGACUACUUUUUCCUAAUAUCAUUCAAUUUCUCACUAAAAAGGUAAUAAGCCUAUUAGACUACGAUAACACACCGCCAAUCCCAACUCCACAAGCAUCACAUUCAACCUCAAACAGUUUAUCAAAAUCAGGUAGUGCAAGAAUAGAGGCAGAAGUAAGCUUAUCUUUAAUCUCCUCAAAACUUUUGUUGGCAGAGUCGGUCCAAGUAAAAUUCUGCACUCUCUUUUUCUUCAAACAAUUUAUGAUAGGGGCUACUAUACUGCUGAAAUUUCUGAUAAAUUGCCGAUAAAAAGUAGUAAGUCCACGAAAACUGUGAACUUCUGAAAUAUUUUUGGGAAUGGGCUAGUUCCGUUUGCUUCUACCUUCUUCUCAUCAACAUGUAUCCCUUAUGCAAUAACAACAAAUCUAAGAAACAUAACGUGCUCUAUCAUAUAGAUACAUUUUUUUAAAUUAAUAUAUAACCAGCUUAUUUUCUUGUAAGGCUGUCAUGACUUGACAGAGAUACUGUAAAUGUUCUUCUUCGCUGUGACUAAAAAUCAAGAUUUCAUCAAAAUAAACAACCACGAAUCUGCAUAAGAAAGGAAGUAGAACCUGAAUCAUAAGUCGCAUGAACGUGCUAGGUGCAUUUGCCAAACCAAACGGCAUAACCAGCCACUCGUACAAGCCUUCCUUAGUUUUAAAGGUUGUCUUCCAUUCAUCUCCCUCCUUAAUUCGAACUUGGUGAUAGCCACUUUUAAGGUCAAUUUUAGAGAAAACUUUAGACCCUGAUAACUGAUCCAACAUGUCAUCUAGGCGAGGAAUAGAAAAUCUAUACUAAACCGUAAUCCUAUUGAUGGCUCUGCUAUCCACACACAUCCUUCAAGUUCUAUCUUUCUUUGAAACCAAUAAGGCAAGGACUCCACAAAGGCUAAUGCUCUCUCGAAUAUGCCCUUUCUUCAAUAAUUCUUCAACUUGUUCUUGAAGGAUUUCGCUCUCCUUUAGGCCCCUCUUGUAAUGAGGCAGAUUUAGUAAUUUAGAUCUAGGAAUGAGAUCAAUCUGAUAUUGAAUAUCCCGUAAAGAUAGAAUCUUUGAAGGCUCCUCCACUACCCUAUGAAACUCCUCUAACAGCUUUUUGACAGGUGGUGGUAAAGAUAGUGCAUCCUCCAUUUCUCCUUUUGUUCUCACCAAUAAAGCCAAUAUGCCUCCAGACUUCUCAACUGUGCCUAAUAGCUUUUGCACUCCUGUAGGAACAACAACAAUAGUUUUCCCUUCCACUUUAGAAUGUUUCGCAGAACCAGAAGGCAAAAUAGUAAUCUUCUUUCGAUUCCAUGUAAACAUGUAUGAAUUCUCAUCUCUGUAACGAAAUCAGCUAUCCCCUGGGUUUCAUUACACUUCUUGGGACAUACCUGAUGUCGAAAGCUAAUAGCAUUACCGCCCAAGUGGACAACCGCCCUGACAGUUCUAGCCCAUGGAGUACCUUUCAUAAAGGAUAAUUUGUUCUGACUUCUAUAGUGUGUGAUUCAAAAUAGGAAUGCAACUUUACCGCAGAAAUUAGGACUGUGAAUGCCAAUUUCUUGAGAAAGGGACAAUUUAACUCCGCCCCCUUUAAGAUUUGGCUAGCAUAGUAGAUUGGGCUUUGCUCCCCUUUGUCCUCUCGAAGCAGCAUAGAGCUUACAGUUUUCUACGUCAUAGAUAAAUAUAAAAACAAGACCUCGCCUUCGACGGAUGAGUUUAGCAAAGGGGGAGACAGUAAAAAAGUUUUUAAAUUUUCAAAUGCUUCUACAUACUCUUCCCCACAAGUAAAUUUAUUUUUGCCUUUUAAGGCUUUAAAGAACGGGAGACAUCUUUUGGCCAAGCAUGAUAUAAAUCGGCUAAGAUCCAUUAUCCGCCCAUUCAAUUUCUCUACAUCAUUUAUGGUUCUAGGUACCUCCAUAUCUUGGAUGGCUUUAAUUUUUUUCGAGUUUAUUACUAUACGUCUUUCUGAGACUAUGUAUCCUAAAAACUUCCCAAUCUUUAUUCCAAAGAUACAUUUUUCAAGAUUAAGCUUCAUACCUGCCUUAUCCAGUAUGUCAAAGACCCUUUGGAUAUUGUCUAGAUGAUCAUUUAAGGAUCGGCCUUUUACUACCAUAUCAUCCACAUAUUCCUCAACUGUUGACCCCACUAUGUCUUUGAAGAUGCCUGACACCAGCCUUUGGUAGGUCGCCCCUAUAUUAUUUAGUCCAAACAACAUCACCUUGUAACAGAAAACUCCUAUGUCGGUGAUGAAUGUGGUUUUUUUGCAUCUUUGUCAUUCAUCAGGAUUUGUUGGUAACCUAAAAUAGCAUCAAGAAAUGAAACCACUGCAUGUCCCAAGAUAGAGUCUACUAACCUGUCGAUGGAUAGGAGUGAAUAGUGAUCCUUUGGACAUGCCAUGUUCAAGUCGGUAAAGUCCAUACACAUUCUCCACUUUCUAUUUGCCUUCUUAACCAGUACUACAUUGGCGAGCCAUGUAGGAUACUAAACCUCUUUUAUCAACCUUGCACUUAACAGUUUAUUAACCUUCUCCUUAAUCACCUGUUGCCUCUUCGGUGUAAACUUUUGUACCAAUUUUAUUGUCUCAUCAAUAGACAACUUAUGGGUGAUAAGAGUCAGAUCUACACCUGUUAUAUUUUCUGGAGACCAAGCAAAAGUGGUCACUUUGCAUUUUAAUAAUUCUAUUAAUUUAUGCUUUACUUCAUUGCUUAACGCAGUUUCAAAUCGUACCUUUUUAUCUGUUCCUAACUGGACCUCUUCCGUUGGGUCUGUUGGUUCUGGUUUUAUGUGGGAGUUUGGCUUUUCCGAUAGAUCGAUUGGCAUCAUCGCCUUUUCGAGACUUUUUGUGGAGUGUCUAUAGCAUUCUUGAGCUAACUUUUGGCUGCCUUGAACAACAGCUAAUCCUCCUGGACCUAGUAACUUUAGACACAUAGCACCCAUGUUAAUAACUAUGCCGUGACAGUUUAAGACUGAGUGACCGAGUAUUACAUUAUAGACGAGUGAGAUGUCUACCACCGCAAACUCUGUAUACAGCUCCCACUUGUGCUUCUCAUUACCUAAUAUAAAGGGGAGACUAAUGGUGCCCAGUACUGCCGCGGUGUUAUCCCCUAACCCUACUAACGGGUAGAAGACCUUAACAAGGUUAUUCUUAUCUAAACAUAGCUUAUUAAAAACAUCUAGGGUGAUGAGAUUAACUGAGGUACCUGUGUCAACCAAGAUCCACCUCACCUCAUACUUGUUUAAUUAGAUACUGAUAACUAGCGGGUCAUUAUGAAAAAACCCUAUCACUUUAUCUGUAGGUCCAAACUUUAUUUCCUAUUUUGUCCAUGGUUCCUGUUCUAUAGACAAGACGUCUUCAGCUACGCGCUUGUUCUUUCCUUUGCCAUCAUUAGGUCCUCAUGCAAUUACAUGUAUAAUUUCUACUGGUUCACUGUUAGGGGUAUUUUCAGGAGUUCUUACCUCAAGCUCGAACCUCCUCUCUUCUCUGUCCGUUUUAGCAAACUUUCAAAGUGUGUCGUCCCUUGUCAACCUCUCGAUCUCAUGUUUUAGUUGCCGAUAUUCCUCCAUUGUAUGCUUGUAAUCUUCAUGGAAAUGAUAGUAUUUUUUCCUGUAUGAUCUUUCAACUUUCUCAAGGUUGAGCUUGGAAGGCCAUCUGACCUAUUUAUCGUUCUUCAUGAUCCACAUUAACAUGUGUAUUCAUGAGUCAUUCAAUGGAGUGUAAUUCUUAUACUUACCUCGGUUGUCCCUUCCUCGAGACAUUGGAUAAUUCCUGCGGUCUUCUUCAUACCCUCGCCUCUCUUGCUUUUGAGUUUGCUUUUGACUCGUCCUCUUAUCUUCUCUCAGUGCCUGGACCUCUUCAUCAAGCCUUAUAUAUUUUUGAGGUUUAUCUAUCAGCUGCUGAUAGGUAAUGGCAGGAUUCUUGAUCAAUGAAUCCAUGAAAUUGAUGUACGAGUUUCUUUUUCCAGUGCCUCGCAUGCUAUUUCGUGAUUUAAUUCUUCCACCUGUAUCGCUUCAUCAUUAAAAUGUGAAAUGAAACUCCUUAAAAACCCACCCUCUGCUUGGCAGAUCUUCUGUAAGUUUGAGGAGAGUUUUUUAGGAGGUAUGCAACUAAUAAAUCUCGACUUAAACAACAUGGCAAACUGUGUAAAAUUAUGAAUAGAACCUAGGCUCGGAUGUUGAUACUACUUCUGAGUCAAACCUGUGAGUGUGGGUGGGAACACUCGACACAGCAUAAAAUCAUUGACGUUUUGAAGCUAGAUCAUUGUCCUGAAGAUCGCCAAGUGACUCCUAGGAUCAGUUGUUCUGUCAUACUUAUCCAAACUUGGCAACUUGAACUUGGAAAGGAAAGUUUCUGCUAGGAUCUCCUUUGACAGGGACGAGGCAUCGUCCAAGCCAUACUCCUCCUUUUGCUCCUUCUGAUACCUUUGCACAGCUUGAACCGGCUUCCAAUCAACGUCCUUUAGAGCCUUAUCUGAUGAUUCAUCAUCCUCCAUUUUGGCCUUCCCUUUGGACUGCGUUUGGAUCACUGCCAUUUAAGUCCUUGGGGUCUCAAUCGAAGCUUUUUCCCUUAUCCUAGGAGCCAUAAAUGAGGCCUCCUCCCGAGUCUUGUAUUGCUCGAGAGUGGCUUACAACCUUUUGAUAUACUGAAGCAUUUGCUUGUUAUUCAGAUUGUUAAGAUCAGCCUCAUUGACCAUAGAAGGUAUGUUUUGUCUAUUGCCAAGAGUGGAAGAAAUGAUGAACCUUUUAUUGGCAGUAGUCUUAACAGUAGCUCUUUAAUUAUAAACCAUUUAGAAAGUGGAAGGAAAAGAAAAGUGUCUUUAAAAGAAAAUGAAUAGAAGAUCGGUUUUAAUCCAAAUGAAUAGGGAGAAUUCAAUGGAUCUCCAGCAAUGGCGCUAAAUGAUGUGACUGAAAUGGAGCUAAGUUGUGAUUGAUCGAUCUGCAAAAAAGAAGACGUGAGAUGGUUGGCACCUAUAGGCAGCCACUCCGAUGCUCAAGUCAGUAAACUGAUAGAAAAGGCAAAUGUAAUAAAUUGCUUAGAACUCAUAAUAGUUGUGUAAAUAUGCGUAUCUUAAUUUCUGUGUACAUAGUUUUUAUAUUGUAAAAAGAUAAAGUUGGUUAUUAAAUCUCCUGAAAAUCUGACUGGUAUCGGGUAGUUGAUAAAGGAUCCUAUAAUUAUAAGUAUAAUAGGAAUCUGCUAGAUUGUAUUCAUUAACGAUGACUCUCUAUGAAGUCUCGUUCUACUAAAAAAAGGGCGAGUUUUAGUGAAAAAUCAAAUGCUACGGUAUUCAAAUUUUUCUUUCUAUAGAUGGGACUGUAUAUCGGGUUAUAAAAUCUUGCCACGUGACCCUAUUUUAUGGUUGCAGCUCAUUAGUUAUUUGAAAUGAUUGUUAUAUUGCAUCACUAUCAAAAAUAAAUUAUUAUUAAUUAAAAUUUAUAAUAAACAUAAAAAAUAAAUCAUAAUUAAAGAAUUUCACAUGUCAAAAUAGAAAUCACAAAUUUUUUAAAAGAUGCAAGAUGUUAACUAUUAAAAAAAUUUUGCUCGCUCUAUAAUAGAGAAUUGCCCGUAUUUUGCACGAAACUCAUACUAAUUUUAAUAUUUAUAAAUUUUUAAUUAAUACAUAAAAAUAAAAUAAUAUUUCAAUUUCACUCAUUUUUUUUCUUGCAUUUUAUGUGGACUUAACUUUUUAUCUGUAUAUAUAUAGUUUUAUUAUAUUAAAGAAAUAUAAAAUAUUCAAAUGUUAUUUUUGUUUAAGAAUAUUAAUAAUAUUAUAGGUAAUAUUAAGGUUUUUUUUAAUAAUUUUAUGAAAUGCUAUUAAUAAUUAGAAAAACAUAAUUGUAUUCUAAAUAAAAAAAAAAGAUUGUAUUCUAAAUAAAAAAAAAUGUGUUCAUACAGGUAUAUAUAAUAAAUAAUUUUUUUAAUAUUUUAAUUUACUUGAUAGUAAUUGUUAUUUCUUAAAGUAUUAAGAGGAUAAUUAAUAAAUAAUUUUUAAUUUAUAAAUAUAGAAAUAGAAAUUUAAUUAUUUAUCCAUAAUUUAAUUAUUUUUAUUUUUUUAUGUGGAUUAAAUUUAUCAAUACUGUAUAUAAAAGUGGAAAAAAGGAAAUAUUAGAAUUGCUUAUUAUGUUUUUAGAUUAUUUAUUUAUUUACCAUGUUUUAAAUUUAACAAUAAAUAAUAAUUUUAUUAUUUAAAUAAUUUUAAAUUAAUAAAUUAUUCAUAUAUUACUUAAAAUGAUUUUAAGUAUUUAUCAUUUAAAAUUAAUACAUGUUCAAAUUUUUUAAUUAUGAGUUUAAUUAAUUUUAUUUUGUAAUUAUAUAGGAUAACUAUUAAAAAUUAAUAAUUUUCAUAGUACUUAAUUAAUUUUUUGGAUAAGAUUAUUAAAAUAAUAAAUUUAAAUAUUAAUUAAAAAUAUUAAAAUAAUUAUCACAAUAUCGUAUUAUUAGAUUUAAACCGUUAAUUUUUUGAAUUUAAUUAAUUUUAUUUGGUAACUAAUUAUUUAAUAAUUAUUAUCUUAAAUUUUUAACCUUGAUGUAUUUUGUAGAUUUAAAAGUUUGAUAUUUUUUUAACAAAUUUACCAUUAAUUUUAUAGAUUAUAUAUAUAUGAUUAUUGAAAAAUAUCAAAAACAAUUAUUACAAUAUUAAAAUAUUAAAUAAUAAGUUCAAAUUUGAAAAAUAAAAAUAGUAAGAUACACAAAAUAAUUAGAGAUAAUAGCCAAAAAAAUCAAUUAACUUUUAAUAAAUUAUCUCAAAUUUUAAAAGUUAACUCAUAUAUUCUAAACUAAUCAUAUAAAUUUAUUUAUACUGUAUCAUUAAAUUUAACAGUUAAAUUUAAUAAAAAAUAUUUUAAUCAUCACUAAAAAUUAAUAUUUUAAUAUAAUUAAUAAUUAUUAAAAAAUUUUAAAUUUUAUUGAUUUCAAUAAUUAUAUCCUAAACUAUAUUUUUAAUAAAUAUAUUUCAAAUCAAUAUUUUAAUUUUGUUUAAUUUUUAAUUUUAAUUUGAUUUAUUAAUAAUUUCGAAUGACGUAUUGUCAAGAAUCAAUAAUUUAUUUUUUUAAUUUUUUAGCAUCAAUAAGUAUAAUUUUUUGUAUAAUUAUAGGUUAUGAGUGUUGUGAUAAUAUUAACUUUAAUAAAUUAAAAAUCAUGAUUUUCUCAAUUUAAAAAAAUAAUUAUAUUUAUUAUAAUCUGACCGGAUUGAAAGGUGAUAUUGUGUUUAAUAAAUUUAAAAUAGAUAAAUUCAUUAUAUAAUAUAUAAAAUAUAAUUAUAAACUAAAAUUACUUUGCCAUUUUUAUUAAUCAAACUAAUUGUAAAUUUUUAACUUUAUUAAAUAAAUAUAAUAAGUAUAAUUAAUUUUCACAUAGUGAGAAUUGUGAUUCUUUGAUUUACUAGUAAUAUUAUUAACACACCAUUUAUAACAGAUAAUUAUAAAAAAAAAUUACAUUUAUUAAUGAAAAAAAUGAGUUAUUAAUUUAUAAAAAUGUAUAUCUAAAAUUAUAAAUAAAUCGAAUUAAAAUUAAAAAUUAAAUAAAUAAAAAUUAAUUCGGAAUAUAUUUGUUAAAAAAAUUGAGGUAUAGUUGUUAAAAUUUUAUUUACAAUUAUAUAUUUGAAUUAUAUUUAAAUAUUAAUUUUUGAUAUUAACUUAAAUGAUGAUGUGGCAUUUUCAUUAAAUUUAACGGAUAAGCUUAAUUGUAGAAUAUAAAUAAACAUUAUUCUCUGUAAAAUAAUGUGUUAUAAUGAAAAUUUUUAAAAAAUUCCUUAGUAGUUUUUAACAUUUCAAAUUUAGAGUUUUAUUGGAAGCAGUAAACGGGAUGAAUGAACUCUUUAUUUUCAUUUCUAUACUUAUUUUAUCUUUUUUGUAGUUUAUUUAUUUGCUAUUAAAAAUAAAAUAAGUUUCAGAGUUUGUAUAUAUAUAAAUAUAAUAUUUUUAUUGAUGAGAAACGAGUUUCAAUUUAUUUUAUAAUUUUAUUAUAAUUAGUAUGAAAAUUUAAUUUUUUUAACUAUUAAAAAAAAAUUCUAUCUAAAAAGCAGUAGUAUAUUAUACAAAAUAAUAAUUGAUUAGUUUUGAUUAAACCGAAUAAAAUAGUAUUUUUAAUCUCUAAUUAAAUUAGUUUUAUAUUAUGUGUAUCGACAGAUUUAUAAUAAAGAUUAAAAAUUAUUUUUUUAUAAGUAAAUUAAAAUAAUAUAAAUAUUAGUGUAGCAAUAAUUAAUAAUUGAUGUAAGUUUUGAUUAUUUUAUUUUAUAAUAUAUGAUAUUUGAUAAUGAUAAAAUUAAUUUAUUUAAUAUUUAUAGUAAUUUUUUAUUGUAAUACUUAUUUUAGAGUAAAAAAUAUUUUUAAUAUUAUACAAGUGAAAUUAAUUUCUAAUAUUAAAAUUUAAGUAGAUAAUGAUUUUAUUAUUUAAAGUAAUUGAAUUUUGAUAAAAUUUAAAAGUUGUAAUAUAUUUAAAUUUAUAAGUGGAUGGUAAUUUUAUAAUUGAAAUUAAAUUUUCAAACAGAUAAUAAUUUCAUUAUUUAAAUUAAUUUAUCAUUAACAAAAAUUUAAAAUUUUGAGUUUUAUAUAAAUAAUAAAAAGUUAAAUUUAUGAUAUAAAAUUAUUAAAAUAACAUAUUUAAAUAUUAAAUAAUAUUAUAAAAUAAAAAAUAAUUAUUAAAUUAUUAAAUAAUAUAUAUAGUAUUAUAACAAAUAUUAAAUAUGUCAUGCACCUUAAAUAACACUAGUAUAUAUAUUUAUUAAUUUUAUUUUCAUAAUAAAUAUGAUAUCUAAUAUAUUAAAAGGAUAUAAAAAUUUUAUUUUUAAGUAAUAAAUAUGAGAUAUUAUUUAAUCAAUUUUAAAUUAUUUUUUAUUUUUAUUAAUAAUAUUUCUUUUUAUAAUAUAAUGAAAAUUUCAUUAUAAAAAAUAUAGGAUAAAAAGCACUACCACUAAAAAUAAUUUAAUAUAACAAGUUUAAUCAGCAAACAAUUUUACACGAAAAAUAUUUAAAAAUUCGUGAUGAGAUAGGAUUAUAUGAUAAGAGUCGAGAUAAAAAUUUGAAUACUAUAAUUAGGCUAUUCAUUAAAAUUUGGCCUUUUCCUUAAUAGGAUGAUUCUUUAUAUAAAAACAAUUAUUUAUAUAAAAACAAAUUUUUUUUAUAAAAUUACUAUUAUUAUAUACAAUGCAGUAAAUUCUCAUUAUACCUGUAAUUAUGAGAUUAUUGAUCAAUUAACUGGCGAAAUUCUUUAUCGAUAAAGUCACAUCAUUAUCGGAGUAUUAAAAAAUACCAUCAUUAAUCUUAUCUCUUAAAAGCUCAUAAUCAAAUUUAUGCUAUUUUCUCACAAAACUACUCUUAAAUUUAUUGACUUGAACAUCAUAUUAGUUACGGUAAAUACUUGCCACUUUAUAUUUUUUGUCUUGCAGUGGAUCAAUUACACUAUGAUUUUAUUUCAGUCAUAUCAUUAUUGAUUUUAGUAAUAUCAAAAAAAUAAUUAUUUAAAUUAUGAAAAUCGAGGUAAAAAUAAUAAUAAUAAAAUAAUAACAACUAAAUAAAUAAAAUUUAUCCAAAAAAUGCCAUGUGACAGUAGUAUAAAAAGACUUUUCAUAGAGAGUACGACAUGACAAUAUUAUGAAAAAAAAAACAAUUAUUAACAAAAAAAUAUAAAUGUAUAGCAUAAAGAAUAAGAACUAAAUAGAUAAAAUUAUCCCAAAGAAUGCCAUAUGAUAAUAGUAUAAAAGGACUUUUCAUAGAGAGUAUGACAUGACAACCCAAAAAAAUACCUACUUUGUAUUAUAUCGAUAGAUAAAUUACUCCCUUCGUUUACUUGUCAUUUUCAGACUCCCAUUUUUAGAGAUCGUUUUAUUUAAAAUUAUUUGUUAUUUUGAAAAUAUUAAAAAAAAUUAAUUAAUUUUUAAUUUUACUCUUAUUUCUAUUAACAUAUUAAUUAUUUCUUCUAAAUUUCUAAAAAUUACUGUCUAUUUUAUCACUUUUCUUUUUAUUUUUUUAAUUUUUUUUAUUCAUAGAUUAAUGGAACGAAAACCAUUAAGAUUAUACUAAUUAGGUUAGAGAAAGUGAAGCUUAGUCAAAUUAAAAAAAAUAUUUUAUUAUAAUAUAAAAGACUAUUGAAUAAAAAAAUUUAAAUAUUUAUGUUAAUUCAUAUUUAUAUUUUAAAUUUUAAAUUUCAAAAAAUAAAGUCCAAACUUUUUGAGUUUAUCAUAAUUAUAGUUAAUAGAACUAAAAUAAAAUUUGAAAAAUUAAUGUUAAAUUAUAUUAUAGUUCCUAAAAUUUUUUAUUAAUAAAUACACAGUAAUUUAAUUCAAAUUUUAUAUUAAAAGUAAAUAUAUUAUAUAUUUAUCAUAUAUAAUAAUAAAUAUAUUAUAUGUAAAUAUUCAUUACAAAUAAAUAUAUAUUACAUACAAUAUCAUAUAUAAGUUUUAUAUAUUAAUAUUUAUGCUCUAUGGAAAAUUAUGUUCUUUUUAUUCAUAUAUAAAAAAAUUUAUUUUAUAUCAAUAAUAUUAAAUAAAAUGAAAUAUCAAUGCUUUAGUCUAUAAAGUUUUAUUUUAUUUUAUAUUUUAAAUUUUUAUUAAUUUAUGAUAUGUGUAUAAAAGUAGAAAUAGAAAGUAAAUAAUAAAUUGAUAAAAAAGUACAUUAUUGAAAUUAAUAAAAAUAUUUAUCAUAAAGUCUAUUUUAUUAGUCAUAAAAAAUUUCAGGGAUUAUAUUGUAAUUUAAUAGAAUUUUUCCAAUUACAAUUUACUCCUCUAUCUAUAAUCAUAACAAGUUUAGAAGAUUUGACUUUUUCCUUUUAUCAGAAGAUAAUUAUAUUGAUAUAUUGCAAGGUCUAAACCUAAUUUGCAAGUGUUACGGAGCUGUCGCUACCGCUUGGAACCAUACCAUAUUAGGAAGCACCGGAGAGAAGAAAGGAAACAGAGUGAUGUUCAAGACCAUUAAUACCUUCAAUCCACAGAAAGGACCUUGGAAACCAUAGGAAGAAGCUUAUGGCCACGUCUUUACCGGAGCAUACGAGGAGUUGUGGAGGAGGGCUCAAAUGGCAUUAUCAUGUCUAGUUAGGAUCGAUUGCUUUACCAUAGAAAGUGACUAGAAAUACUGAGGUUCUCCACAACAGAACUUGAAUAGAAACCGUUUCAUAACUAAAUAUAGAUAAAUGGCUUACUGAAACACACAUCAGUGAAGGGAUGCAAUAGAAAAAGUCCUUUGCAAAAAAGCUACCUUGCAUGUAAGGAAAAAGAGCAAAAGGAAGAAGAUGGAAGCCCAGCAAGAUUAGUUCCACAAUUUGGGUUCGUUAAAAAUUGAUGAGUUUGACUCAUUUUCAAGUUCAUGAGUAAGUUUACAAAUUAACUCGUAAACAGAUUGUUAAGUAUGUUGAAUCAAUACCAUAAGAGAACUGAGCUCAAACUUGAGUUUAUAUAAAAUUUUAUAAACUAACUUGAACUUUCUAAACUUAACUUCACUCUAUUUAAUUACACUUCUACUAUUUACAGAUAUUCUACGUGUUAAAAUUUAAGAGCUCUUUUUUUAAUAGUUGAUAAGUUGGUGAUGUAGGACUAUUUAGACUCCGUUAGGAGUUUCAAUCAAUAUCGUUUGGUUAAAACGAAAUAAGAGAAAAGAUAGGCUAAAAGACGAAAAGUCUUAUUGAAAUUUCUUAAAAAUUGGAAAGUGUGUUCCUAAUAGCCAAGGGAGGCUAUUUAUAAUAGAAAUAAAAUCCUAAUAUGCAAAAAUAAUCCUAAUCUUAAUAGGAGUUUAAAAUCCUAAUAGCCAAGGGAGACUAUUUACAAUAGAAAUAAAAUCCUAAUAUGCAAAAUAAUCCUAAUCCUAAUAGGAGUCUAAAAUCCUAAUAGCCAAGGGAGGCUAUUUACAAUAGAAAUAAAAUCCUAAUAUGCAAAAUAAUCCUAAUCCUAAUAGGAGUCUAAAAUCCUAAUAGUCAAGGGAGGCUAUUUACAAUAGAAAUAAAAUCCUAAUAUGCAAAAUUAUAAAAAUAUCCAAAAUAUCCAAAAUAUCCAAAAAUAAUAAUUAAAAUAUAAAAGUUAGCCCUAGUCCAAGUCUGCUGUAAAAUCCAAGGCUAGUUGUCCCGUGUCAUUCCCUUCCACUUGUAAAGAACUCGUCCUCGAGUUGUCAUCAGCAGGGUAGUAUUGAAAUAAAUCUGCCACAUUAAAUGUUUAGGAAAUUUUCAUUUCAUGUGGGAGGUUAAGAAUAUAGGCAUUGUCAUUGAUCUUCUGAAUGAUCCGAAAUUGACCAAUCUUCUUGGCGUCAAGCUUUUUCUGUCCUCCACCACGCUCCUUGCGUAAAUACACCAUAACUUGGUCACCGACAUUGAAGGACUUGAAACGCCUAUAUUUAUCAGCUAUAGCUUUAUAUUUGUCAUCGGCUUCUGUAAGGUAUUGUUGUACCUGUUUGAAAACAUCUAUGUGCUGCUUUGCCAAGUUGCUUGCUGCAAUACUGUUUUAAGCAAAUUCCACCUGGUCUUGGAGGUUUUCACUCUCCUUUGGACUCAUCUUGUAAUGAGGCAGAUUCGGUAAUUUUGAUCCAGGAAUGAGAUCAAUCUAAUGUUGGAUAUCCCGCGGAGGUGGAAGCUUUGAUGAUUCCUCCACUAUCUUAGGAAACUCCUUCAACAGCUCUUUGACGGGUGGUGGUAAAGAUGGUGCAUCCUCCAUUGUACUUUUUUCUCUCACCAAUAAAGUCAGUGUGCCCCCAGAUUUCUCAACUGCACCGGAUAGCUUCUGCACUCCCGUAGAAAUAGCAACAACAUUCUUCUCUUCCACUUUAGAAUGUUUCGCAGAACCGAAAGGCAAGAUAGUAAUCUUCUUUUGAUUCCACGUGAACGUGUAUGAAUUCUCCUUCCCUUUAUGUAAAGCAUCAACAUCGAACUGCCAAGGGCGACCUAGCAAAAUUCCACAGUAAUCCAUAUCCACAACAUCACAAUUAACAAGUUCAGUAUAAGAUUUACCGAUCGAGAUAGACACGCUGCAGAUUCUGUUGACCUCAAUUGUCAGUCCUUCCUUAAUCCAUCCGACUUUGUAUGGUGAGGGGUGAGGCUGUGUAGGCAACUGUAAUUUCUCCACCAACUGCUUAGUUAUUAGAUUCUCACAACUGCAACUAUCUAUAAUUAGCCUGCAAAUUGCCUCUCCUACUUGACACUUUGCCUGGAAAAUCUUCCUCCUUUGUGUCUCGUCCUCCUGUUUUGUUGAGCAUAAGAUCUUCUUCACCACAUAGGUGACCUCUCCAUCUUCAGAACCAGCAAUAGAUCUGUCAUCGUCAUCCACUUCCUCGUUAGUUUCAGCCGCCUGCUCAACUAUAUUAACAUGCUGGCGGUCAGUAUUAACUCCUCUACGUUCUGGACAAUUAUUUGAUCGAUAACCAGAUUGCCUGCACCGGUAACAGAUGUCUCCCGUUGGCUUCUGGUAAGGAUUGGUCCUGCCUCCUUUGUCUGUUGUAGUGGUGACUGCCUUGCCCUUACUGUCUCUCCUUUCUUCCAUGGUAUUCGGAGGGUUGCCAGAAUUUACAACCUUAGAAGGCUGCCCGCUGUAGUUGCCUCUAUGUUGUUGCGUCCCUGUUGAACUAGAGUUUCUGUAAUUGAAAUUCCGAUUGUACUGCUGCUGUCGUGGCUGCCAAUCAAUACGCUCUUCUGCCCUUUUUGUCAUCUCAAUAGCGUCUGCCAAGGUGAAAAUCACAGCUACUCCCAUCAUACAACGAAUUUCGUGAUUCAGCCCCCUCUGAUAAUGAGCAACCUGUUGGGCCUCGUUCUCACAGUUUUCACAUCUCGCCUGCAGCCUUAGAAACUCCUUGGUAUACUCAUCCACCCUUCGGUUCCCGUGUACACAGUCAUGAUACCGGUUAUAUAAAACCUGAGCGUGAUCGCUAGGCAAGAACCGUUGUUCAAACAUCUGCUUCAUCAGCACCCAGUUUCGUAUGGGCUCCAGCCUCUUCCUAUAGCAUUCAUUUUAAAUCGAAUUCCACCAGGCUGCUGCACCCCCUUUCAACUUAUAGGCCACAAUUGGAACCUUGCGUUCCUCUUCCACGUUCAUAAUUUCAAAGAAGCGUUCAACCUCUGCCAGCCAAUCAAGAACAGAUUCAACAUCUAAUGAACCAGAAAAGUUUUGAAGGUCUACCUUGAUCCUGUAACCUUCCUGAUAGUUCUGUUAGGGAUUUGCAGGCAUAGGAUUGACGACCACAGGAUUGGCGGCCACAUGGGGAUGUGCGGCGGCGGCGAGUUGGUGGAGUCCCUGCUGCAGGGUCAGCUGUCCAAUCAUCUCCCUCAAUUCUGCCAAGGAUGCCUCAAUCGCAGCAAGUCGCGCCUCUUGGUUAUCUGCCAUGGUCAAACUUCGCUCUGAUACCAAUCUGAUGUAGGACUAUUUAGACUCCGUCAGGAGUUUCAACCAAUAUCGUUUGGUUAAGACGAAAUAAGAGAAAAGAUAGGCUAAAAGACGAAAAGUCUUAUUGAAAUUUCUUAAAAAUUGGAAAGUGUGUUUCUAAUAGCCAAGGGAGGCUAUUUAUAAUAGAAAUAAAAUCCUAAUAUGCAAAAAUAAUCCUAAUCCUUAUAGGAGUCUAAAAUCCUAAUAGCCAAGGGAGGCUAUUUACAAUAGAAAUAAAAUCCUAAUAUGCAAAAUAAUCCUAAUCCUAAUAGGAGUCUAAAAUCCUAAUAGUCAAGGGAGGCUAUUUACAAUAAAAAUAAAAUUUUAAUAUGCAAAAUUAUAAAAAUAUCCAAAAUAUCCAAAAAUAAUAAUUAAAAUAUAAAAGUUAGCUCUGGUUCAAGUCUGCCGUAAAAUCCAAAACUAGUUGCCCCGUAUCAGUUGGUCUACGUGUAUAAUUAUUUAAUUAAAAUAUUUAAUAUAAUUAUAAUAAAUUAAAUUAUAUGGAAAUUAUUUAAGAUUAUACUCGAUAAUAAUUUGGCAUAUUUUAAUCUGUUUGCUAAUAAAUCAAAUCUAAAUUUAUUAUUAUUUGACUUGAAUUUGAAAUAAGUAAAUUUUGAGUUUGGUUUAAGUAAUUAAAUUUUAUUGAGACAAAUUUAAAUUUUUCAAACUCAAUUUGCGAGUGGUUAACUGGGUUAAAAAUUACACUUGAUCACAGCAAAUAUGGUUAAUGUAGGAUAACAUAUUAUAUGCCUAACUCUUAGUCUCCGUUAACCUCAAAAUAAAUGCAUUCCUAUGUAAAUAUCCCUGGUUUAGAAAAAAAAAAGUCACAAUAAUUUAAUUUAAUUAAUUCCUAUUUUAUCAUAUUUCUUAUUUGAAAUGAAAAAAAAAAAUCAUUUUUUUUAAUUUACUAAAUUUUUAUUUAAUAAAAAAAAUUAUAUAUAAUUUUACUAUAUUUUAUUUAAAUUUUAUUUUUAUAAAAUAAUUCAUAUCAAAUAGAAAACUAACGAAUCUAUUAAUAAAAAUUAUAAACGAAACAUAUGAUAUUUUUAUUUCAUUUAACAUUAUUGAUAUUAUACAUAGUUGGCUAUAAAAAUAAAUAUUUUAAUAUAUAAUAAAUAUCGAAUCUAUUUUAUUACAAUAGGAGUUAUUAUUUUCAUAAAUAUUUAUUAAAUAUAAUAUAUUUAUUAUAUAUAUAUAUAUAUUAUAUGGAAUAAAUAUAAAAUAUAUUAAUAUUUAAAUAUAAAAUUUAAAUGGUGAAAUAUAUUUUUAUACUAUCAUAUUAUUGAGAUUUAUUAUUUAAUAUUUAAACUAAAAUUAUAACCUAUUUCUUUCGCCACAUAAUUUUAUUCAUUUUAUUUUUUCACGUAUAUUAAAAAAUAUAAUUUUUUUAUUAAUUUUUUAACUAUACCUAUCCUAAAUAUAUUAACUUUUAUUAAAUAUUAAAAGAUAUUUUAAAAAAAAUUUUAGAAAUAAAAUAAAAUUAAAUAGGAUUAUAAUAUUAAAUUUAUAUAUGCUUAUAAUUUUAAAAAAUAAAAUAGAUAAUAAUUUUUGAAAAAUUAAAAAAGAAAAAUUAAAUAAAAAUUAUGGGAUGAAAAGAAUAUUAAACUUUUAAAAUUAUAAAAAUUAUAAUAAUUAAAUAUAAAUUAUUUAUGUUAUUAAUGAUUUGUUAAAAAAUAAAAAAAAAUUCAUAUUUAUACUCUAAAUUUUACUAAUUAUAUUCUAAUUUCAUAAAAUUAUAAAAUUAUCGUUUUUUUGAAUUAAAAAAAUUUAGAACAUAUUCAAUAAAAUUUAGAGCAUAGUUAAUACCAAGUAUGAUUAAUUUUAAAUUUUUUUGAUUUUUUUCAAUAUAUUGCUGAUAAUAUAGUUCAUUUAUGUUUAAUUAUUAUAAUUUCCAUACAAUAAGUUAAAAUUUUAAUUUAGAUAUUUAAUAAAUUAAUCUCAAUUAAUAUAGAAUAUAAAUAUAUAUAUAUAUAUAACUAAACUUAAAUUAAAGACGGAUAUAUUUUUCUAAUAAAAAAAAUUGAAACUAUAUUACUUUUAAUUUUUUUCAAACUUAAUUUGGUGAUAGAGUUAUAAUUUUUAAAAAUUGAAAAUAUUAGAUUUUAUUAUUAAAUAUUUUAUAUUUUAAUUAAUCUAAAUUUCAGACUUUUUCAUAGUAGAUUUUAUUUUAUUAUUAAUAGCUAUAUUAUUCUUUUUUUUUUUAAACAGGCCAGGGUAAUUAAUUAGAUGCACCGACCAGGCACAUGGAAAAUUACAUACGUGUGUGUAUGACAAAAAAGGGCUGGUUACCACAACAUGAUGAAACCUCCAAUUGGGACCGAAACGGUGUCUGGCUGAGCUCUGACAUCAGAUUCAGCUUCUGCACGUGCGCCUCUUUAUGGCGUUUUUCUCCUACUGUCGGGUAGGUGAACGGCUCUCUCCCGCUAUAUAUAUUAAAUAUAUAUAUAUAUAUAUUAAGAAAUAUUCACGAUCUAAUUAUUAAAUUAUUAAUCCAAUAUAUGAUCAUUAGGUUUUGACAAUGUCCAAUCAUUCUUUAGUUGUUAUUCAUCUUCUUUAAUUAUCAAAAUUUACACAAUGUUAUCAUAUAUAAUCUGAAGAUUGAGCUAUUUUCUAUUAGCUUUUUAUUAUUUUCCAAAUUAUUUAAAAUACUCAAAAUAUGUAAUUAUAAAUAAUUAAAUUAGCUGUCAAACAUUUAGCAUAAGAAAUAAUGGAAGGGGGUGGAAUUAUAUUCCAAGUUCAACUCACAAAAAUAAUUAGCCUUUGCUCUCAACAUUUAAAAGGGGCCACCAAAAAUUUCCAAGUAACAAAUGAGAGAUAUUUGGUCAAAAUACACACAAAUAAAAAGGCUAUGCAUGUGGCUAUAUGCUCAUGAUGGAUAAUAUAUUCCAAAAGAGAUAAGAUAGAGUUCUUGUCAUUAUAGGUAGCUUUGGAUAUUAGAGCUUAGAGACAUGGACUCAAAAACAAUAUGACCCACCAAGUUAGGUUAAAUGGGAAUUCUAAAACAAACUAAAAAAUUGUUGCAAUUUAAGGUUUUAAGGAUGUCAUAAUCUUAUCAUUCUUCUGUGUUAGGCAUUAGAAAGGAAUCAUAGACGUUUGCUAACUAAAUAACUUUAAACACAAGGCAGAUCCUCUUCUUCUUGUUUUUUCUUAAAGGCAUAAUCUUAUCAUUAAUUAAUCCUAUAACGAUUUCAAUCGAGAAUUAUUACUGGCGCUAAGGUAGCAAGUUUACUUUACAUUCUAGUACAAUCUCAAUAUGAUUUAAAAAAACAUACAUAAAAUAUUAUCAUGAAUCAAAUUUGACAUGUGCAUAAAAGUAUAAUUAUAAAAUAUAAACCUAUAUUAGAAGACUUCAUCAAAUACUUAGUAUAGUACUCAUUACAUACCAUAGAGUACGAUUUCAAUUAUAACAUAGAAUUUAAAGCUUUUACAUGACUAAGAGAUCACAACUAUAAUUGGUAUAACACACUAAGAAGAUAGUUAUAGCUCAAUUCUGAUCUAACCAUCAUGUUUAUAUAUUCAAUAAACUAAUAUAAGCAUAAAGGUACUCUGAAGCCUUAAAGCCCAUAACUAAUAUUAAUUCUGCAAACCUAGAAUUAGGAAAGAGGGAUAAGUUACGACAACCUAGUGAGUAGAAAUAUAAUAUAAAAUAAUUUAAUAUAAAAGAUAUACAUAUAUAUGCGUUACAAAUACAAACAAUUCAUAAUAUGAUGGACUUAGUAUCAAUAACCACUACAACAAUAAUAGCUUGUAAUAAUAUUUUUAUAGUGACGCUUUUUGUAAAUGUCACUUUCAAAGUGAACAAGUUCACAUUAAAACAUUAUAGUUUGAGUUCAUGUAAUAUUUUUGAUGGUAUUUAUAUAAAAUAUUGCUCAAAAUUUUAGAUAACAUUUAUACAAAAUGUCAAUCUAAAUUUUUUAUUGUAAUAAUUUUCUAAAUGUUAUCAAUACUUAUUGCGACAUUUUCUUAGAAUAGUUAAUAGUUAUUGGUGAUUUAACUUUUUGUGACAUUUUAAAUAAAUUUAUAUAAAAUGUUACUAUCAAUUUGUUUGUUGAAACAUUUUUAUAAAUGUUGUUAGUACUUAUUGUAACAUUGCAUUAGAAGUAUAGACGCUAAUAAAUAAUGUCAUAAUGCCAGAAUAUAGAAUGGGCCUAAUCUAUAUUUUCAUAGAUAAAUAUUUCAUAUCGUAUUUUGAGGGCUAGUAAAUUAUCUAAUAUUCAUCUACAAUGACAAUUAAAUGUGUAAUGCAUCAUAUUAAUAUAAUCCAAAACAACCUAAGAUCAUUUAUGCAUUCAUGAUAUAUGAACAUACUUAAAAUUAUUUAAUUCAAUUUAAAUAAAAUUGAGUUUAGUUCUACCCACCUUUUAAAGACACAAGCCUUGCUAACUGGUAGUUACCUCACUACUGAUCUCUCUAAAUUCUUAAGUUUGAUCAUAUAUAGAUUAAUCUAAAUGAGAGACCAAAAAGAAACAUAACCUUUACAAUUCUUAAAACUGCUUUAAGAAAAACCUAAAAGUAUAUAAGAAGCCACGUAGAAAAAGGAUGAAAAACGGUUGAACAGGGAACUUCCGACAACAGAUUCGACAGCCUAAAGUAUCCUUACAAAUAUGAAAGUCAACUUUUUGGAAGCACUUUUGGAUGCCAGACCACAAUUUUAAAAAAUGCAGGUUUCGAGACGACAAAAAGAUUGAUAUUUUGUGAUGAAUUACCUAUUGACAACAUAAAUUUUAUCAUUGAAAAGACAUAUAAUACGAUGAAAAUUAUUAAUUGUUAUAGAAAAUAACUUAUAGUGACAAUAUAUAAUUGUGUAAUGGUAAUAUAUUAGAUUCGUCACCUAAUAUGUAUAUUUGAUGACAACUUAUAAAUAUUCGUCAUAUUAUAUAUUUGAUGUUAUAUUUUUUAAAAAAAUUUUAGUGCCAAAUUAUAUGCUAAUAAAAGAAUUUAUUUUAUUUAAUAAAAGAAAAAUUUAUUGUGACAGUACAUGAUAUUAUCAAAAAAAAAAAUUAUUCCAAGAUGAGUUAUAAUAAUUAUCAUAAAAAAAUUUAAAGAUAAAUUUUUAUCAACCUUUUACAGUAGAAAUUGUAUUUUAUGAAAAUAUAUAACGUGACAACAUGAAUACUAUUAGUGACAAAAUGUUAGAUUCGUCACCUACUAUAUAUAUUUGAUGAUAAAUUAUAAAUAUUUAUCACAUUAUAGGUUUGAUGUUAUAUUUCCCUCCAAAAUUUUAGCUCGAAAUUAUUUAUUGAUAACGAAAUUUAUUUUAUUACAAAAAAAUAUAAUAAAAAAAAUUAUUGUGACGUAUAUGAUAUUAUCACGAAAAAAAUUAUUUAAUAAAGAGUUAUAAUAAUUUUUAUAAAAAAAAUUUAAAAAUAAAUUUCUAUCAAUGUUUUACUGUAAAAAUUUUAUUGUGAUAAAAUAUUUUAAUUUUAUAACAAAUUAGUGAUAAAAUAUUAGAUUUAUCAUGUACAUUUAAUGAUAAAUUAUAAAUAUUUAUCACAUUAUAUGAUUGAUAUUAUGUUUUCUCCAAAAUUUUAGCACCAAAUUUUUGGUUGACUAAAAAAUUUAUUUUAUUACAAAAAAUGUUUAUAAAAAAAGAAACAUUUAUAGUGACGUACAUGGAUAGUAUUGUCACGAAAAAAAUUAUUUUAUCACGAGUUAUAAUAAUUAUCAUAAUAAAAAAUUUAAAUAUAAAUUUUUAUCAAUUUUUUACAGUAAAAAUUUUAUUAUGAUAAAGUAUUUUAAUUUUAUAACAAUAUAUAACGUAAUAACAUGAAUACUAUUAACAAAAAAAUAUUAGAUCCACCACUUAAUAUGUACAUUGAUGACAAGUUAUAAAUAUUUAUCAUAUUAUAGAUUUGAUAUUAUAUUUCUUUCUAAAAUUUUAGUACUAAAUUCUUUGUUGAUAAAAGAAAUUAUUUUAUUAAAAAAUUUAUAAUAAAAAAAAUUAUUGUGAUAUUCGUAAUAUUGUCAUGAAAAAAAUUAUUUAAUAAUGAUUUAUAAUGAUUUUCAUUAAAAAAAUUUAAAAAUAAAUAUGUAUCAAUCUUUAAUGGCAAAAUUGUAUUGCGAUAAAUUAUUUUAAUUUUAUUAUAAUAUAUAAUUUGACAAUAUAAAUAUUAUUAGUAAUAAAAUAUUAGAUUUAUCACUUAAUAUAUUUUUUUAUGAUGAAUUAUAAAAUUUAUUAUUAAUUAUUUUAUAGGUGAUUAUCUCUCAUUAAUUUUGAAAGCAGGCACUAAUUAGUAUGAUAAACUUUUAUAUGACUAUCAAAUAUUUGAUUCUGAAUUAUUUUUUUAUAAUUUGAAAAAAGUAUAAAAUAAAAAUAUUCAGUAAGCUAUUUUUAUUUUUUAUAUGAUUAUAAAAUAUUAUAUUUUUAUAUAAUAAUAAUUAUUUAUUUUUAAUACAUUAAUUAUAAUUGAUAAUCUUUUAUAAUUUAUAUUACUUAUUCGAUAUUUUAUGAUUAAAGAAUAAGCCAUUUAAAAAAAAAAAAGACUAUCAUAUUUUAUUUAUCCUACAAAAUAUAAACUUAUCAAUAAAAUGUAACUAUUUGUCAUUUUAAACCAAAAAAAAAAAAAGAACGAAAAAGGCAAAGGCACUAGAUUUGAAAAAAAUCAAGUUUAUUUUAACAAAGAAAAAACUAAAAUCUAAGUAUAUAAUAAUAAAUAUAACCGUAGAGUAAAAACAACAUUAAAGAGCCAUGUACUUUUUAAUAAGAUAAUAGUUAUAUUUUUAAGUCAUAUAUUAUUUUUUUAAAAAAAUUAUUAAUAGUAAAUAGAUUAUGUUUUUUCGUAGAUAAAAUUUAAUAGUAAAUUUUAUUGGUAAUAGUAUAUUUAAUUUAAGUGAUACUUUUUAUUUUUUAUUUUAAAUAAUAUAAAGGGUAUAAUUCAAUUAUAAAAAGUUAAUUUACGUUAGAAUUAGAAUAUAUUAUAAAAUUUAAAAAUAAAAUAUAAUAUAAUUAUAUUAAUUAUUAAAAAAAUUUUAAGACGUAAUCUAAUAAUAAAUAUUCAGUUUUAUUUUUUUACUUAUUAAUAAUAUUUAUUUAAAUCCGUUUUCAGCUUUGAUUUAUAAAAAAAAAAAAAAAGUUGUAAUUCAAACUAAAUUAUUUGAGUUGUUUUAUUUAUAUUAAAUGAGAAGUUUUUAAUUUUAGAAUAAAAGUGUUUUAUUUAUUGAUUUAACACGUAAAUUAAUUAAGAAGUUUAAUUUUUAAUUUUAAAAUUAACUUUAAAUUAUUUUAUAAAUUUUAAUUUUUAUAUAAUUUCAAUUAUGAUCCCGACCCGAAUUUAAAAAAAAUGAGAAUAGAUUCAAAAUAAAGAAAAUAUAGAUUAUUUAGAUUGAUAAAUAUUAAAUAUUUUAUUAAUAAAUUUAUAAUAAUAUAAUAAAAUUAAAAUACAUUCUAUCUCUCUUUUGUCUGCUCGUUCUUUGGCAACAAACAAUGUGCGUGGUAAUUUAAGCUAAAUUAUUUGAAUUUUUUUAUUUAUAUAAAAUAAAAUAUUUUUUUUAAUUUUAGAAUAAAAAUAUUUUAUUUUUUAAUUUAUCUCAUAAAUUAACUAAAAAAUUUAAUUUUUUAAUUUUAGAGUCAAUUUCAAAUUAUUUUGUAAAUUUAGAUUUUUUAUGGGUUCAAUUACGUCUCCAACCCAAUUAAAAAAGAGAAAGUGUUCAAAAUCAAGAGAAAAAUGAAUUAUUUAGAUGGAUAAAUAUUAAAUAUUUUAUUAAUAAAUUUAUAAUAAUCUAAUAAAAUUAAAAUACAUUAUAUCUUUUUUCAUGUAUGCAUUUUUUUAAAAAAAUUAAAAAUUGUAAUUUAAGCUACAUUACUUGAAUUUUUUAUUUAUAUAAAUUAAGAAGUUAAAUUUAUUAAUUUUAAAAUAAAAAUAUUUUAUUUUUUAAUUUAACUCAUAAAUUAAUUAAAAAGUUUAAUUUUUUAAUUUUAGAGUCAAUUUUAAAUUAUUUUGUAAAUUUUAAUUUUUUUAUAGAUCCAAUUAUGGCCCCAAUCCUUAUAGUAAAAAAAUGAAAAUAUGUUUAGAACAAAGGGAAGGUGAAUUAUUUAGAUUGGUAAAUAUUAAAUGUUUUAUUAAUAAAUUUAUAAUACAUAAUAAAAUUAAAAUACAUUCUAUACCUUCCAUUAUUGGUCCAUUUUUAGGCGAAAAAAAAAAUCUUAGGCAUUCUCACUCCAUCUUCCCCUUUCCUUCACCUCUCCCGCUAUGCCUAUCACCUUUAGUCAGGAUAGUAUCUCUCCACUCCAUUUCUGCUCUUUUGAUUCGUUUUCCUAUCCUUCAACGUUAGAACUUCUCUUCUAGUUCUACGUAGAUAAAGGACCUCCAUGCAGCCCACUCAUGCAAUACCAUCCACCCAACUAUUAAUUUCAUUUUGUUAACCGUUCGAUGCACUCUCUUUCCAUGCAGUAUAUAUUCAUCAAAUUUUAGUGAUUAUCUUGAGUUAUUGGGUGGAAAUUUAUUAUGAAUUUUGAAGGUUAGCAUUUCCGUUUACCUAAUUUUUUUACCUAAUUUCUUUAUUUCUUUUCUAUUUAAUUUUCGUAAUUUUAGUUUAUUUUUUAUCUUAGAUAUGUAUCAGUCAAAUUUAAGGCCAUAGAAUUAAACAUAUAAUCUUCAAUCCAUUGAAUUUAUUUCUAGAAAGUUGAUUGUUAUUUAAACCAUUAAAUUUUGUCCUCAGAUAUAAACUUUUUAAUUUGAACUUUAAUAAAUUUACAUAAUUUUUUUGGGAUAGGUAUAUGUGUCUAAUAUAACUUUGUUUUAUAAUAGACAUGCAUUUAAUGCUAUUCAUAAUAGAAUAUGGCAAUAAUAUUGCCGUAUGCAUUAGGUAGUAGAGAUUGUGCAGUAGGCCUUAUGCAGUGUGUGGUUCGAUGCUAUUCAUUUUAAAACCACGUAAAAAUUUGAUGCCAUUCUAUAUGAAAAUUUCUUUUUUGAUUCAUGUGGUUUUGUGCAUAAGUAGAAAUCUUAUUCAAAGACAUACUCAAACUUUUAAGUCUAAAUUGUUGGUACUCACAUAUACUUUUAGAAACGGAAUUAAGAAACCUUAGUUUUGAAAAUUACUAGCUUUAUAAACUUAACUGUAACCAUGUUGUAUUUAUUUUGAAUGACUAAUUUGCUAACAACUCUUCAUAUAAGCCUUUUCUAUUUAUCUCACUAUAUGUGUUUUGAAAUGUUUUUUUAUGGGUUUGAUAUUUGAAAUGUUGAUGAUGAAGACUUACUUUAUUAAGAAUGGCUAUGUAUUUGGGAAUAUUUUGGGAUUAUCACAAAAAAGUUUGUACAUUUCAAUUAAAAAAUAUAAGUGGUAAUGCUCUUUCAUCGAUUUUUUAGUAUUUCACAGUAUAUAAUUCAAGUUAAAUUUAAUUAUAUGUUUUAGUACAUGCACAUUUAAUAAAUUUCACUUUCUCUUUU